UUUUUUUUUUUUUUUAUGUUGGCGAGAAUAAUGAAUUUUAAAAAAGUAAUGAUAUGAUUAUAAAUUUUACUUACAUAGGAAAUAAAUGACAAUAUAAAUGUGAAACUAUUUUAGCAAAAUAUAAAUUUGUGAGUAAAAUUAAAAAAUUCCAAAUCAUGAUAUGAAAUUUCCAAAUCAAGAAUAUGUUCCAUAGAUGACAUCAACAUAUCCAAACAUUAAUUUCAUCUAACAAUUUCAUAUCGUGUUAUGAUAUCGCAUGACCAAACGCUUGCUAAUUAAAAUGACCAUAAAAAAUAAGAAAGAAAGAAGGGAAAAGGGUCUGAUAUACCCCUCAACUUUGUCAUUUAGAGCUGAUAUACCCCUCGUUAUAAAAGUGGCUCAUAUAUACCCCUACUGUUAUACAAAUGGCUCACAUAUACCCUUUUCCUCUAACGGAAGUGAAAAAAAUAAUUUUAGUUUAAAUUUUUUAAUUAUUUUUAAAAAAUAUAAUCCCAUAUGGGUAUAUUUAAUCUUCCUCAAACAUAUUUUUUUUGUUUCAAUGGCUAAUUUGGAUUUAUUAUUUUGAUGGUCAAAUUUAUUUAGCACUAUCCUUCAAAAAAUUGUCAACACGCGCUGGGCCCACAAGAUAGUGCCACGUAGGCCGAAAAGGGGUAGAAAAUUAUAUAUAAAAUAAGUUCAGGGGUAAUAGGAUCUUAGUAAAGGUUAGGUGUGUCUCAGGGAUUUUGGGCAUAGGUUGGGGGUACUUAUGCAUUUUCCCUUUUUUUAAUAGUAAUUGUAUCAUAGUUACCAUAUAUAUAAAGUGGUAUGUUAAAAUUGGAUAGGUUUUCUGUUAAAAAAUAAUUGUAUGAUUUGACACUUUGUUGGAUGGCAGUGGCAUAAAUGAGCUUUUUUUUAACAGAUGGCAUAAAUACACAUUUUCUCAAAGUUCAAUUUAAUUAAUGACGUGGACAUAUCAUAAAUGUCACACGUAUAAAGUGGUAUGUUGAAACCGGAUAGGUUUUCUGUCAAAAUGAGCCAAACUUUUAACGGAUGAUAUAAAUAAGUUUUUUCUCAAAGUUCAAUUUAAUUAAUAACGUGGACGUAUCAUAAUUGCCACAUGUAUAAAGAUGUAUGUUAAAACUGGAUAGAUUUUCUAUUAAAAAAUAAUAUGGCAUAAAUAGACACUUUGUUGGACGACAAUGGUAUAAAUGUGUCAAUUUUUUAAGAAAUGACAUAAAUGAGUUUUUUUUUCAAAAUUUAAUGACAUAUUUGAGUCUUUUCCUAUUUAAUUAUAUUUUUUUCGUUUCGCAUUUGACAUGAAAUACGAAAAAUUCUAACAAAAAACUAUGAUGCAUUGACAUUUAAGUGAUUGUUUGAUUUCUUUCUUUACGGUAAAAUUAUGUAGUUUUUCUUAUAUUAGACCACCAUGGUCACAAUUGAUUUAUAGAGGAACAACUCAAUCCUAACCUUGAAAAAAUCGUUAGUAGAUAACAUUGUUUAUGGUCUUCAAUGAUUAUUAAUCCAGAAAGGAUUUUUCUUUAACAGUUCUUACCACUGAGUCAUUUAUCAGUUUUGUUGAGGGUUCACAAGUUUAUAUAUAUAUAUAUAUUAUUAUUAUUAUUUAAAUACAAAUACAAAAUUUUAUGAAAAAAACAGUUGUGUUUGUUUGAACCCACAAACCCUCACUUAGGUCCAUCCCUGGUGACCACUUCAGGACCUAUUGCAUGGUUCCUUCAAUUGUACACGAACUCAAAUAGUUAUAUCAUGAACUCUUAACUAUGCCAUUGAAACAGCUGUGAACAUUGAAGAAUGAAAUACAUCUGAUAUUUUGAAGUUCCUUUAUAUCAACCUUCAAAUGGAUUUACUGCUUCCACAAAUUUGAACUUCGUGGAAAGUGGUGAUAUAUGUUAGUAGUAUAUUCAAGAAAAUGAGAUCAUUUGCCUUGUGUUCAUUCUUAAUUUGAUUGGAUUAGUCAAGUUUCAUCAAAUAUUAUUGGUGUUACUUCGUUUAAUUUACAUCUAUAUAAUUGCAGCUUUAUGUUUUUUUCGUGUGCAAUGUUAGUGUUUGUGUCAACUCGAACUAUAUUACUAUAGUCCAUCAAAUGAGUGCAAAACAUUCACCACUUCAAAAUGUAAAAUGUUGGACUUGGUUGGGCCUAUGCUCAGCACGGGUCAUGCCCCGCUAGUAAUAAUUAAAAAAAUUACGUGAUUAAGUAAAUUUAUACAAAUUAAUUAUUUUACAUAGCUAUAAUUUGAAGAAAUUACUUUUCGCCACUAACAUAUAAUCAUAUUACGCGGGUCACAUUCAGAAUUGAGAAACUUACAUAAAUAUACCAUACUAAGAAAAUAUUUACCAUUUAUAGUAAUAACAUUUUUUCACUUGAUCACUUUUGAUACAUUUAUAAUAUAGUUUUAAGAGAAAAUGGUCUAAAAAAACCCCAACCUAUAUCCGAAAUCCCAACUACACACUCCAACUUCACGGGUGUCCUAUUACCCCCCUGGACUUUAUAUUUCUCUAUUUUCUACACACCUAAGUGUUGACUUGUCAUAGGAGGUGUUCUCACCUCCUCUAGGCGCAUUAGAAGGUGAAUUUUGAUGAAAAUUUCCUUUUUCUCCAACGGGCAUCUUCCCACCCUUAAAUAAACCAUUGUUUCUUCUUCCCCACCGUUAACCCUUGUUCCCUUUAUAAAAAAAAUUCACGAUUUUCUCUCAAAAAUAAGUACGGUUUAGUUGUUUAUGUUCAUUUCUACUUCAAAUCUUGAAUUUUAGGGUUUGUAAUCUGCUCUAAUUUCUUAUUUAGGUCUUUAAUUUGAAUUUUCUCGAAAUUCAUCAAAAAUGGCAAAUGAAAACUUGAAUAAGCUUUGUAUGGAUGAAUCAGACCCAAUGCUCAACGAUGUAGUGAGAUGCAAACAUGGAAUUUUGCUGAAUUUGCAAACUUCUUGGUCGAAAUUAAAUCUGGGAAGAAGAUUUUGGUCUUGCCCAUGCUAUGGUGUUUGUGCUUUUCCUUGUAUUUUUGCUACACUUUAUAUUGAACGAUGCUAAUGUACUAUUUUUGGAUCAUUUUCAGUCUAAAAAUUACAAAUUUUUUCGAUGGAGGGACAAAGAAGAAGUGAAUCCAAGAUCAAGUUUUAUCCUUCCAAGAUUGGUGAACAAAAUCAAUGAGUUGGAGCAAGAAUUAUGUAUUAGACAGGUUCAUAUUGACAACUUGAGGAACUCUAAUUUGUUAUUGGAGAGGAGACUUAAUAGAAGGUGGAAAUGUUGUAGGUUCAAUAGGAAGAUACUUUUGUGUAUUUUGAUUUGUGUUGUUGCUAUGUUCAUCAACAACCAAUCUAUUCAAGGGUAUAUUUGAUUUGGAUUUCUCUUUGAUUUGUAUUGUUGUUAUGUUUAAUUAGAAUUGUCAAUGUAUGUGACAAUUUGUAUCUAUGAUGUCAAUUGAAGCUUGUAUUAAUAUGCAACACUUCAUCAACAACCAACAACCUAGUCAUCCAUUCAUACUUCAACAUAGACAACACAAUACCAUUUGUAAAACACAUAACCAACAACAUUAUUUCUAUAGCCAUAUGUAAACACACAUGAAUAGUCAAUACAAUUCGAUAGAUAACUCAAUUGAACCAACACAACACCAUAUGUAAACACACCUGAAUAGCUAAUACAAUUUGAUAGACAACACAACAUCAUCAUUCAUUCCUAAGGCCUCACAUAAGGCAGAAUUUACCUAAAUAAUGUCAUAUUCAAAAGCCCUCACAUAAGGCAAAAUUUACCAACAAACAAAAUCCAAAAUAGUAGGCCCUUAAUGCAGCAUGUCUUGACUAACUUAAAAGUGGUUAAAUACAUCAACAUCACUACAAUUUCCAUGGCAUCUUUGACUUUGAAGAAAUGUCAUUUUGACUUGGAUUAUUUGAACUACUUCCCAUUGUUUUUUUCUUUGCUUCUCUCUAAGCUCAUGAAGUUUGCUUGUUGAGAUUGCUGCUUUACCAUUCCAUUUCAGCUUAAUUGUAUUACUUGGUGUAUAACCAAUGUCACCAGUUACAUCAGAUGAUCUUGUCACUUUUGCUUGUCCAGUAAAGUAGAUCUUACUACCUGGCAUGCCAUGCUAUAGUAAAAUUAGAAUUAUAUCAAUAUUUAAGCUGUUUAAAUAAACAAAAUUAGGAUUAUAAUUCAAUAUUUAAGCUGUUAAGAUAUAUCAAAGACUCACAUUCAUGUCUUUGAAGCCAUUUGCAGCUUGGAACACACUCAUUCCCAUGACUCUUGGUCUUUUCUCAGGAGAUGUGUUUCCCAUGCCCCUACCUCUUCCUCUUUUAAUAGUACCAACUAUUGAAGAUGCUGCAUGAUUAGUAGGAGGAGCAGAAGAGGAUGCAUGAAAAUCAGUAGGUGCAGUAGGUAGGGGAGGUGCACUAGGUGCUACUGAUGUUUUUUUUUCUUCCUCUUCCUCUUCCUCUUUUUAGUGGAGGCUCACCUUCUGAUGGUGCUGAUGGAGUUUUCUAUACAUAUAAAAGAAAAAGUAAGUCAUAAAUUAAGAAAAAGUAAAACAAGUUCAAAUAUUACCUUUGGUUUGCCUCUUCCCCUGCCUGAACAUGUUGGUUCUGCCCUUAUAGAUGCAGUUGGUGAAGUGCACUUUGUCUUGUUGAUGACUCAACACAUUCUCUUGGAGGACAUCCUCUCUUGUUAUGGCCUCUGACAUGGCAUAUAUUGCAUGUCAUUGCAAGUCCAGUCCUAGGAAGCUUCCUAGAUUUCUUAGUUUCUCCAGCAUCUUUCCUUCUAGCCUUAGAUGGCCUACCAGACAUGUUUGUGAUUUCUGGUGGCUCAAUAAUGGGGUUUGUAGAAACUGGCCGCAUCUCCAUGUUUGUGAAUGGUUCAAUAACAUUGGCGUAAGUCCUCAAGUAAGCUUCCUUACUGUAGCAAUUGUCUAUAUAGUCAUAAAGAGAAAACUUCUUAAAGUAUAAUGCAGCCACAACAUGUGCACAUGGUAUGCCCCUUAACUGUCAUACCUUACAACUACAAGUUCUCCUAGCAAUAUCCACUUUGUGUUGACAAAGCCCUUCUUUCACUUCAAAUUCAGCAACUCCAUUUAACUCAACAGUACAUUCCAUAGACCUACUAAUGUUCUCCUCUAAAACCUUCAGAGCCAUUAGAGAGAAAUUACACUUCCAAGUACUUAGGAACUCCCUUAAAUUGGCUUUUUUUUGUCAUCAUCUUCACUUUUAUUUCUUCAAGUAUAAUAAUGAUGGUCUUGUGUCUAGCAGCCAAGAUCUAUGCAUUAAAACACUCAGACAUGUUGUUGUCUACAGAGUCACACUUCAUUUUAGUAUUGAAGUAAGCUUUACACCAAUAAUUAAUGUUGUAUUACAUUAAGUUAUCCAUCAUUUUUUCUGGACCUGACAACUUUAUCUUCUCUAUAUUUUUCCUUAAUUGAGACUCAAAUGUACUCUUAGCUAUCUUCUAAAAUUGUUGUCUUCUUUUGAAGACCCCUACAAUCCUAACCCAGUUAGCUAAUAUGUGCCUAGAAAACAUUCUAUGUUCACACUUAGGUAAUGCAUCUGUAAUUGCUAUAGACAUUCCCUGCAAUAAAUGAUAAUUAGGUCACAAUUACAUAUAUAAAUUGAAAAUUACAAAAUAAGUUCACAUACAUUUUGCAUAUCUGUAAUCAAGGUGAGACCUUCACCAUCUCCAAGUCCAAGAUCAUCCUUUAUGCACUUGACAAACAUGGUCCAUGUGUUUUUGUUCUCCUUUCCAACUACUACCUAAGCAAGUGGCAGCAUCUGAUUAUUACUAUCCUUGGCCACAACAACUAACAAUUGGCCUUUACAAACACAUUUAAGGAAACAACCAUCUAAGCCUAUGCACUUCCUACAAUGUAUCCAUGCCUUCCUUAAAGCAUCAAAAUAGAUGUAAAAACUCUGAAAUAUUGAUUUGCCUUCUACAUCAGGUUCACCAACUUUUACAACACAACUGGUCCCUGGAUUGGUCCUCAACAAUUCAUCAUUGUAGUCAAGUAUUCUUCCAAAUUCUACAACAUGAUCACCCAUUAUAUCUUUCAACAUUUUAGCUCUUGCUCUUCUCACAGUAGUCUUGCCAACAUAAAGUUUUAACUUUUUCCUAAUCAUUUCCUGCAACUUGAAGACUCUUAUGUUUGGUUGCUCAGUUAUUCUUUCUCUGAAGGCUUCAAAUAUUUUUUUUGCAUUGCACAAGUAAUUUCUAAUUGUCUUGUUGCAAGUAUGCUUUGGAUUUGUAAGUUUUUAUCAUGAAAUUAUUUGUUGUCUUGUCAAGACAUCCAUACAAAAGCCACAGACAACCAUCUUUACAUCUAACUCUAACUUUCUUUGGCUCAUUCACCCACUUCUCCACCUGAACCCUCCUUCUAACUGCAUAUUUAGUUACUGCUUGUCUAAAUUCUUUCACAUCUUUAAACACCAUGCCCAACUGCCACACAACUUUCUUUGCAGUAGGAUCAUGAAUGAUUUUUGAGUUUUUGAACUCCUCUUUUUUGACAACUUUACCCUUCUUGAUCUACCAGAUUCAUGUUCAUCAUCAUCACAACACUCAUCUUCAUCUAACUCAAAACUAUCCUCAUCAGNNNNNNNNNNNNNNNNNNNNNNNNNNNNNNNNNNNNNNNNNNNNNNNNNNNNNNNNNNNNNNNNNNNNNNNNNNNNNNNNNNNNNNNNNNNNNNNNNNNNNNNNNNNNNNNNNNNNNNNNNNNNNNNNNNNNNNNNNNNNNNNNNNNNNNNNNNNNNNNNNNNNNNNNNNNNNNNNNNNNNNNNNNNNNNNNNNNNNNNNNNNNNNNUCAUCAUCAUCUCCAACUAAUUCAGCUUUAGACUCAACACUAUCAUCAGUUGAAUAAUCAGAACCCUCUACUUCUUCUUCUGAGAAAUCAGGUCCAGCAGAACCAACAUCUAUAUCGUCAUCUCCUACAACAUUUGCAGUAGCACCAUCUGCAGUAACAAUAUUGAAAGGAGGUGUGGUAGUGAAAAGAGGUGAGGUUGAAAAAGUAGCAACAGGGUCCUCACUGUUGAAAUGGUCUUCACCUACCCUAAAGUUAAAGUUUUCACUCUCACUAGGCCUUGUAUUAAAAGCUGAACCAGAUUCUCCCAUAUCCACAUGACUACCAUUUUCUAUUAACAUGGGCCCCACAAAUGCCUCAUCAAUCAAAUGCCUAAAAAAUACCUCCACUAUAUCCUCAUCUUCCAAGGAACAUAUCAUGUCUAAAAUAUCCUUAUUAUUAUCAAUAUCUACCAAAAUGCCACUGUUAGGUGCUUUAAUACUAAAGGUGCAAGCUGUACUAUAUCCCAAUUCUCUAAUAUAGUCUUUCAACUCAAAAUAUGACAUUUUAUCUAUAUCAACAUCCAAAAAUUCUGUAACUUUUCCACCAUUAUAUAUUGGUUCCCCACUACUUAAAUCUAACACCCCACCAUGGUACCACCUUAGAGUAAUCAAAGUAAACCCAUACAUCUCUUACCUGAAGGCAAUAAAAAAAUAGAAUAGUAAUUAUAGACAUACUCUAAUCUGAGGGCAAUCCAAAAAACUGAAUAGUACUUAAAAACAUAGUAUCAUUGUAGUAAUAUGAACAUAAUAAUAAGACGAACAUAAAUACAAUAUAGUAGCAUUAGCUUUUCUAUGAACAUAAUACUAAGACGAACAUAAAUACAACAUAGUAGCAGCUUCUCGAUGAACAUAAUACUAAGAAGAACAUAAAUACAACACCCCAUGAGCAUAAUACUAAGACGAACAUAAAUAAAAAAUUACGCGACAUAGACGAGAAAGGGAAAAACCUAAUUUCAUGAAUAAUAUGAUAUAAUAUGGUGUAAAUGAACACCUAACAGUAUAAUCGUAAGCCACACAUAAGAUUUCACACAAUGUUGCUCUUAAUUUUACGAAUCAACAGAAACCCUAAGGGAUAAAGCACAAACUUCAAAUAAGGGAUAAAGAACUAACCUUUUACUUAAUUUGUCACUCCCGAGCUACCCCCGAGACGCGGACACGGGACCUAGGACCACAAGUGAUCCCAAGCUAACCCUGCUGGCAUGAUCAUGAGCAUACUAAAGAUAAUAAACUGAUGCGGAAGCUAAAUCAUAAAUAAAAAUGAAAAGAUGGGGAAUAGUCAUAUACUAUAACUGAUAUAAAUGAUAACUGAUGAGUUUAAUACAAAGAAGAUAUUAACUCAAUACUAAGUUGAAUCUAACUAUGUCUGAAAUAAGCCUCUAAAAUGACUAGAAAUGUUAGGACAUGCCCCAACUAGGUCUAGCAAAACUGAAACUAAAGACUAAAAGCGAUAAAAAUAAACAUGUCACUAGUCCUCGAAGAAUGAGGACUCACCACUGAUGCUGCUGAACUGAAGAUCAGGAACCGACCUAAGCGUGAUCUGGAUGCUGAGAACCUGAACCUAUAUCACGAGAAGAUGUAGCGCACGUAUGCGUCAGUACUUGAAAGGUACUAAGCAUGAUAAAAUAAAGCUAAAAUAACAUAUAACUGAACAAACCAAUAAAGCAAUGAAAUAAUCUGAACAUGAUAUAGAUGCUGAAUAGUGAGUUAACUGAAUGCAAUGACCAAAUUUAUAACAUGCUGAAACUGAAUACUGACUGUACUGUAAAUAAGGUCAAUGCAAUAGAAUCUGAGUGAACUGUGGGAGCUACUAAUGAUCGACAAUAAAACCACAUGAGCUAAAUGUGUAGUCCGAUGUAUACGCCCCAUUGAGAGGACCCAAUAUACCCGGCCAAAGGUACAGAGGCAUGACUGGCGUGAUCACUAAACUGAUGUUUCCCACAGAGGGAACUUACACCUACAUGGCUCGUAGUUCUGGAACUAUAUGGGUACGCUGAACCCUAGUCCAACUCGGUAUUAUGCUACUCCCAAUGAAUUAAGUAGUUAACUGGUUAUGACUGAAUUUCUGUAAAUACUGGAUAGCUCAAAACUGAACAUGCAAACUGAGAAUGCAACAAUUAAACUGAUAAUGAUGCAUUCAUAAACUGAGGCAUGUAUAACUGAAUACAUUAUGAUGGAAAUACUGAAUAGCUCAAAAUACAGACAUGUAGAUACUCAUACUUGAAAACUCCUUUUUAGAAAACAAUUCAACAUCAUAUUAUACUNNNNNNNNNNNNNNNNNNNNNNNNNNNNNNNNNNNNNNNNNNCUUUCGAUUUCGGUGCUGGAACUGAUGGAACCUUGCUGCGUUCUUGAACUAGGGUUCUUGACCUUUUCUCCUCUCUUGAUUCUAAUUUUCUAAGAUUUUGAUUAAUGAAUUAACUUGGAUAAGUUCUAGUUAUGUUUCUAGGCUUAAACUGAUUAAAGCCUCAUGAUUUAGGGUUUAAACGACGUAUCUUAGGGGUUAAACGAAAUAGGAAAAGACCAAAAGACCCCUGACUUAACUGCUGUCGGAGUGACCGCUAGAUUGGACCUACCGGCCGUAGUUCAAUCUACGGUCCGUAGAUUGGGGUCGUCGAUCAACUCUGCUUGACAAGGCUUCACUAAAACAAGUAUAACUUUUUACUCGGAGGUCAGAAUUUAGCAAACUCGGUGGCGUUGGAAAGAGGAGUUAAUUAUAUAUCAUAUCAUAGGUCAUGAGACACAUAAUUCCUUUUGUGCUAAGAGUUAUGACCAUCUGAAGUUGACCCAAUCAACAAUUUUCAUCUAACUGGCUGCUGACCCUCGCUUACGGUUAGACCUACAGACCGUGGAUCGAACGACGGUCCGUGCUGAUCGACUGUAGUUCGUGUCAGAGGCUGGGUAAAUGAGUCUUAAUCCACGGACACAUACCACGGACCGUGGGUCUGUCCGUGGGUCGAGACUUAGCCAAUUUUUUGAGCUGGGUUGGGGAGGGGUUGCAGUGGUGAACCACGGACCACCAGCACGGGCCGUGGUCUGACCUACGGUCAGUGGAUGGCAACCGUGGGUUGCACCUGCAACUUCUCAAAAUUUGCAUUUUUGAUCUGUUUCGGAUACGGGGUGUUACAAAAUCAGUUGAUAAACUACGAAACCAAGUUCAACAUAGCAAAAUCCUUCGAUCAUCAACAGAAAUACAUAUGCAAAUGGUGAAGGAGAUGAAAAGGAGAAAGGAUAUUUUUUUGGGUCUUUUACGUUUUAGGAGGGAAAUGGGAGAAAAACAUGAAUUGAGAGUUGAAGAGGUAGGUGACCUGACGUGUGCAAUCACGUGGACUAUUUGUUUGGUGUAUGUGUUGAGGUCAACAUUUAAGUGUGUAGAAAAUAGAGAAAUAUGAAGUUCAGGGGGGUAAUAGUCUACCCGUGAAGUUGGAGUGUGUAGUUGAGAUUUCGGGUAUAGGUUUGGGGGGGGGGUUAGACCAUUUUCUCUAGUUUUAAUACAUAUUACAGAGAACAAUUUAUAGAACAUAUAUAAUACAAGUUUUAUUGAUAGAUAAUACAUUUAUCACACAUUUUAAUACACUUAUAAUACAAUGUGUUAAUUUCUUACCAAACAAACAUAAUUUUUUUUUAAAAAUAGUUAUAAUACAUAUAUAUUGCAUACAUAAUUCACUUUUAAUACAUAUUGCAGUUUAUCAUAGUAUUAUUAUGUAUUGCUAUAAACAGUACUCCUAAUAAAUAAAAAGUAUCGCUAAAAUCAAUAAUUAUUUAUUAAAAGGUACUCGUCCAAGUAGUUUUUUGUUCAGAAUUUGUAUAAUUCGGUUUCUAAUUAUAUAAAUUCAGAAUUUGUAUAUGCUUACCCUAGCUAUUUGUAUACGGAUUAUUUAUCUUGUUUGUAUAUGAUUUGUUGAUACAUUUAAUUUGUAUAAUCUCUGAAAGAAGUCUAAAUGUAUAAAUACACAAUUUAUAUGUACUUACCAUCUUUGUAGAUUGACAAACAAAUAUACAAACAGAAAUACUCAUAGCAAAUAAAACUAUAGCUAUGAAACAUAAGGGUAGCUUAUUAAUCUCUUUGCAUCCAUUUAAAUUUGGGUCAGACCGGUUCGGGUCGGAACUACAAAUUUCAAGUUAGCUCUGCAUUUUCUUCUUCACCGCCUUCACUUCUUCUGAAGUGACUGCCAAUAUCUUCAAAACCCCAAAAACUCUCUUUUACCAUAAACCCUGUUCUUCGUUCUUUUCUGCGAGGUUCUCAAAUCUCAUAGAGGAACAAGAACCCUUAACUUUUUCUCUUCGGAAGUGUAAUUACAGCAAUUAUGACCAAGGUAUACGGAACUGGCACCUACGAUUUCCGGCGCCACCGGGUAGCUGAGUACCCGGUGGAAGCAUCGCCGCAGACGGCGGAGGCUCCACAGAAAAUGCUGCCUUCUGAGAAGCCGCCGGAGUCGAAGCUCGGGUCGAACAUACCUAGCUCCAUAACCCUUGCUGAGAUCCAACGCGACCGCUUGACGAAAAUCGCAGCUUCCAAUUGGGCGAAAACUGAAGAGAAGAAAACCUUUAGUCCUGAGCUUGUUAAAGAAAUUUAUGACACGGAGCUUACUGUAAAAGGUUGGUAGUUUGUUUACGUUUCCCGUUAUUUAUGCCUUUUCGCUUCUCAGAAUUUGAGCAUAGUAAAUUUUGACUGUUAAUGUAUUAUGUCCUGUUUGAAAUUGAAAAAAAUAAAUGUAAUACUUAUGUUUUAUUCUUAAAAAAAAAGUUAAGUAUCAUGUGUUCCAUUGAAGUCUAAAAGUCAGUCAAGAAAGGACUUAAAUUUUUGUACCGAUAGAUAAUAUAAUUGGAUAUAUAUGAGUUUCUAUGAUGUGUAUGGUAAUUAUGCAUGUUCAAAUGCGUGUUGUACUGAAAUAAAUUUUGAUUGAUCAUCCUCUAUAAUGGUUUGUGUAAAGGGGGGAGAAAGCCAGUGCCACUGCAGAGGGUGAUGAUAUUGGAGGUUAGCCAGUAUUUGGAAAAUUAUCUUUGGCCCAAUUUUGAUCCAGAGGCUUCUUCCUUCGAGCAUGUGAUGUCAAUGAUACUGAUGGUCAAUGAGAAGGUAUGCUGUUGUUCUACUACUGCACUCAUUUGAGUUAGUUGGUGUUUUUGGUUGUCUGUUAGGGUGUGCUCAGAGAUGGGAAGUUAUUUUUUCUCCUUACUUGGUGGUUACAUAGUCAAGAUUUUGCUUGCAGCUCUGCUUAUCAGAGUCAUCAACAUUUUCUUUUAUGAUCGUGUCCCGGGCCAGCUUGUGCCCACCUUACCUAUUUCCAUGGGGAUACCUCUUACCAAUACAAGUACCGGGUAAUUUUGUUCAUCAACGCUCGGAUGAAUAAGAAAAAUCACCUAGUGUUCUUGUAUCCGCUGGGAUUUGAACCUCAUGGGGCUCAACCCAUCAACAAUUGUUGAUAGAAUCUCUUUCUUUGUUUUUUCCUUUUUUAGGGAUAGAUCAAAGUGUUUAUUAGUAUCUUACUAAGUUGGUGUUGUCUUUUUUUGAUAACCAGUUGGUGUUGUCUUUUGCAAUCGCGAUGCAGGAAAAAUCUGCUUUAGCCCUCCAAAAAUUGUAACUCAGUGUCUUUACUGUUUUGACCAAAUGUGUAAGGUCGACACCAGUAAACUGUUAACAUGACAGAUUGAAUGCUUGAUCCCAUCUAAAAUUCUUUUACUUCGUUCUCUCUCUCCUUCUCUUUCUCUACGUUUAAAUACAUUGUGUGUGUGUGUCUCUAUAUGUACACACACACAUACACGUACAACAUAUAUAUAUAUAAUUUAUAUGUAUGUAGAUAUUUAAGCAAAGCCGCUAUGUACACAAGUAGUGGGUGUCCUCUCCAUAAUUUUGCAAAAAACAACUUAUAAUAUUAUACAUCUUCUACUAAAAUUGUCUUCCUUCUGAUAGCAUCCCUUGCUCCGCAACAUGUAUAGAACACCACUUUUCUCCUAACUCUGAAUUCUAUAUUGAUUUUCAUAGAGCCCUAUUGUCACCCCAUGCACAAGAGACUAUGGUAUGAUUUCACUGUAGUUUCCUCCGUGUUUGGGGUUUCUCAAGCAACCUAAUCAAUCCUUAAUAAAGUUUGUGUGUGUAUAUGACCUCUGAAAUAAGCUUCCACUUUUCAACCUUCCUGUCCUAUUAGGGUCUCCUAAAAGAAACAUCCAGGGUCACCCUUGUUCCGCCUUAUUAAUCAGUUAAGCUAGAGUGACAUUCUUAUAGUAAUUCGUAACAACAGAUAAAUUUGGGAAAUCAUCUUUCAGCAUGCAAGGUACAACCCAGUUAGGGCUUUUAUCAUUUUUAGCUUCUGGCAGAUAGAGCCUGUGUAAUUGUUUCUUCACAUGCCUAUCUGCACAGCCACUUUUCCGUCACUGCUUAGGUAUAUAAAUUUCCUACAUAAGAAUACCCAACAUGCCCACACUGGUUGGAGGUGUAACCCUGUCCUAAGUCCCAACGUUAAAAUUGUCAAAAGAAUCUUACAAGACAUUGUUAGCUUUGAAUAAAAAUACAGUUUGUCAAAAUCCAAGUGAAGCUUAAUAGUGGAAAUGCUUGGUGAGAAUAAACUCUCUCCCCUGAAGCCAAAAAAACAGAACAACAUGGAAUGAAGAGUUUAAAGAACACAAUGAAACAACAAUUCAUGAGAAUAGAAUACUUGAAGUCUUCUUUUACCCUGCACAUCUAUGGGUAAUUUUGUUGCAUUGUGCAUCUAUUAUGUUAUUUUCAAAAUGGAAAUUGGUGUCUCUGUUCUCUUUUCUACAUUUAAAUAGAAGGGAAGUUGUGUUUACAAGAUGAUCAAAGAAGGAACAAGUUGAGUUUUGCUAGUCAGGUGGUCGUGGUUUCUGGAUUCAUUAGCAGAAAAGUUAGCUUCUGUCAUGUGCAAUGGUUAUAAAUAAACAUGUUUUGAGUCAUGCAAAUACUUAUGAGUCACUGUUUACCGGAUUUCUUUUGCAACUUGUAGUUUCGGGAGAAUGUGGCUGCAUGGAUCUGCUUCUAUGAUAGAAAGGAUAUGUUCAAGGCAUUUCUUGAUAGGGUUCUUCGGCUGAAAGAGGUUUGUUUUUGUCUUGGGCUAUACAUAUUUUAGUGGUUUAAUUUUAAAAAAUUCUUAAUUCAAUAAUAUGAGCAAGUCUUACUAUAUAAUAAUAUCUUCUUCUUUUUUAAAUCUUUUUAUCUUUUUUAAAAUUAAAUAUUUUUAUUUUUGCUAUGAGUUAUCACAAAACAUUUUAAAAAUAAGGUAGCUUAUGUCAAGGGUGAGUCACCUUCAGGGAAUUUUUGUCUAUUUAGGUGCUCUCCACAGAUGUUGCUAAUACAUUUGUUUCUUAUUUCACAUAUAAUCACAUAUAAAAUAUACGUACAUAGAUUUCACAUUUUCGCUUAAGUUGUGCAAGUGUAAUUUACGCAGGAAAAGAAAAUGACAACAACUACUAGUGGAGAGUUAAGUAAGAAACACAUACUUUCCUGCUGUAUGUAACUUUACUGGUAACUAGUAAAAUUGCUCGCGCUUCGCGCGGGAAUUUAAUAUCACGAAAUUUAUGAAAUAAUACUUAAAACCUAUCGGUCAUUAAAACUAAAAAAAUAUAUUAUUUUACAUACAAGAUUACGUACUAACGAUUAUUAAUAGUGUAAAGGAAAAUGAAAAUUAUAACAUCUUAUCAUUUAUCCUUAAUAACAUAAGCAUAAAAUUAUAAGGGAGCACAAGAGUUAAAAAAUUUGAUAACUUUUGAUGUCAAAUUUAAAAGCAAUGAUGAUAGAAGGAAGGGGAAGGGGAAAUCACAUAAUACUCCAUGAAGAUAAAAUUAAUCUCAUGGAAUGUUAGGGGGUUGAAUGAACAGGGAAAGAGAAGGGUGGUACAAAACCUGUUGCAGGACUGGAAAGCAGACAUUGUCUGCCUCCAGGAAACUAAAUUAGAAGGCGAUGUACAGGACUUAGUUAAACAAAUUUGGGCAGGGAGAUGGAUUAAAUAUGCUUGUUUAGAGGCCAGUGGAACCAGAGGAGGAAUCCUGAUGUUAUGGGAUUCCAGAAUGUGGGAAGGGGAAAUUAUGCAAGUUGGAGCCUAUACUCUCUCUUGUAAAUUCAAAGCUCAGACAAGCAAUUUUGAAUGUCAUAUAACCGGAGUGUAUGCUCCGAAUAGUAAAGUGGAGAAGAGGUUUGUAUGGGAAGAACUGGCGAGGCUUGAUGGAUGGUCCAUGGGCUGUUUGUGGUGACUUUAAUGUCUGUAGAUUUCCUUCUGAAAAAAGGGAGUGCAACAGGUUAAACUCAGCAAUGAGAGAGUUCUCAGAAUGCAUUGAAGACAUGGACCUCAUUGAUCUGCAAUUAAGUGGUGGAAGGUAUACCUGGUACAAGGGUGAUAACCAUAUCACAGCAUCCAGGAUAGACAGGAUUAUGGUCUCCACAGAAUGGAAUAAUCUUUUCACCAACAUAAAGCAAACCACUAUGCAAAGAGUGACUUCUGAUCAUGUUCCUAUAGCCUUGUUGUGUGGANNNNNNNNNNNNNNNNNNNNNNNNNNNNNNNNNNNNNNNNNNNNNNNNNNNNNNNNNNNNNNNNNNNNNNNNNNNNNNNNNNNNNNNNNNNNNNNNNNNNNNNNNNNNNNNNNNNNNNNNNNNNNNNNNNNNNNNNNNNNNNNNNNNNNNNNNNNNNNNNNNNNNNNNNNNNNNNNNNNNNNNNNNNNNNNNNNNNNNNNNNNNNNNNNNNNNNNNNNNNNNNNNNNNNNNNNNNNNNNNNNNNNNNNNNNNNNNNNNNNNNNNNNNNNNNNNNNNNNNNNNNNNNNNNNNNNNNNNNNNNNNNNNNNNNNNNNNNNNNNNNNNNNNNNNNNNNNNNNNNNNNNNNNNNNNNNNNNNNNNNNNNNNNNNNNNNNNNNNNNNNNNNNNNNNNNNNNNNNNNNNNNNNNNNNNNNNNNNNNNNNNNNNNNNNNNNNNNNNNNNNNNNNNNNNNNNNNNNNNNNNNNNNNNNNNNNNNNNNNNNNNNNNNNNNNNNNNNNNNNNNNNNNNNNNNNNNNNNNNNNNNNNNNNNNNNNNNNNNNNNNNNNNNNNNNNNNNNNNNNNNNNNNNNNNNNNNNNNNNNNNNNNNNNNNNNNNNNNNNNNNNNNNNNNNNNNNNNNNNNNNNNNNNNNNNNNNNNNNNNNNNNNNNNNNNNNNNNNNNNNNNNNNNNNNNNNNNNNNNNNNNNNNNNNNNNNNNNNNNNNNNNNNNNNNNNNNNNNNNNNNNNNNNNNNNNNNNNNNNNNNNNNNNNNNNNNNNNNNNNNNNNNNNNNNNNNNNNNNNNNNNNNNNNNNNNNNNNNNNNNNNNNNNNNNNNNNNNNNNNNNNNNNNNNNNNNNNNNNNNNNNNNNNNNNNNNNNNNNNNNNNNNNNNNNNNNNNNNNNNNNNNNNNNNNNNNNNNNNNNNNNNNNNNNNNNNNNNNNNNNNNNNNNNNNNNNNNNNNNNNNNNNNNNNNNNNNNNNNNNNNNNNNNNNNNNNNNNNNNNNNNNNNNNNNNNNNNNNNNNNNNNNNNNNNNNNNNNNNNNNNNNNNNNNNNNNNNNNNNNNNNNNNNNNNNNNNNNNNNNNNNNNNNNNNNNNNNNNNNNNNNNNNNNNNNNNNNNNNNNNNNNNNNNNNNNNNNNNNNNNNNNNNNNNNNNNNNNNNNNNNNNNNNNNNNNNNNNNNNNNNNNNNNNNNNNNNNNNNNNNNNNNNNNNNNNNNNNNNNNNNNNNNNNNNNNNNNNNNNNNNNNNNNNNNNNNNNNNNNNNNNNNNNNNNNNNNNNNNNNNNNNNNNNNNNNNNNNNNNNNNNNNNNNNNNNNNNNNNNNNNNNNNNNNNNNNNNNNNNNNNNNNNNNNNNNNNNNNNNNNNNNNNNNNNNNNNNNNNNNNNNNNNNNNNNNNNNNNNNNNNNNNNNNNNNNNNNNNNNNNNNNNNNNNNNNNNNNNNNNNNNNNNNNNNNNNNNNNNNNNNNNNNNNNNNNNNNNNNNNNNNNNNNNNNNNNNNNNNNNNNNNNNNNNNNNNAAGGUGAAAUGGUUAUGGAGGUACCAUCAGGAGGACCAAGCACUAUGGUAUAGGGUGAUCAACAACAAGUAUGAGGAGCUAAAUAAAUGGGUAACCAAAGAGGUAAAUACCCCUUAUGGGAUUAGCCUUUGGAAAUCCAUCAGAAUAUUUUGGCCUUUUCUCAGUAAUCAGUCUACUGUCAAGGUACAAAAUGGAAGAAAAACUAGUUUUUGGUUUGAUAAAUGGUCGGAUGGUAUGAGCCUCAAAGAUCGUUUUCCUGACAUCUUUACAUUGGUUCAACACCAACAGAAGACUGUCGCUGAAAUGUGGACACAACAAGGCUGGGAUCUGAUCCUCAGAAGAAAUCUGAAUGACUGGGAAAUUCCCAGAAUACUUGAAUUGUUUAAGGUUCUGGAGAAUUUUCAAGGUAUACAAACAGGCGAGGAUUAUUUAUGGUGGCAAGGGCACAACAAAGGUAGUUACAAGGUGAAAGAAGGAUACAAACAGAUAAGUACUGGUGGCAUUCAAGACUUCAAAUGGCCUUGGAAGCAAAUCUGGAGGAACAAAGUGCCAUGAUAAGUACUGGUGGCAUUCAAGACUUCAAAUGGCCUUGGAAGCAAAUCUGGAGGAACAAAGUGCCAUGAUAAGUACUGGUGGCAUUCAAGACUUCAAAUGGCCUUGGAAGCAAAUCUGGAGGAACAAAGUGCCAUGAUAAGUACUGGUGGCAUUCAAGACUUCAAAUGGCCUUGGAAGCAAAUCUGGAGGAACAAAGUGCCAUGAUAAGUACUGGUGGCAUUCAAGACUUCAAAUGGCCUUGGAAGCAAAUCUGGAGGAACAAAGUGCCACACAAAGUGGCAUGCUUUACAUGGCUACUAGCCAAUAAAGCAGUUUUGACGUUGGAUAAUGUGGCCAAGAGAGGAAUCUCUCUAUGUAACAGAUGUUCCUUAUGUGGUAAGGCUAAUGAGACAGUGAGACAUCUCUUCUUACAUUGCAACUUUACUGAGCAGCUGUGGCAGAUUUUCCUUAAUCUCAGAGGCAUAUCUUGGUGUAUGCCUAGCAAGAUUGAUGAGACUCUAUUCAGUUGGGAGAUGGCUGGAGUUGGGGCUACAAACAGAGAAAGAUGGAGGAUGAUCCCUGCUAGUAUUUGGUGGACUAUAUGGAGGGAGAGAAACGAGAGAUGUUUUGAGAAUAGGAACAACAACUUGCAGGAAGUAAAGCUUAAGUGUAUUUUGUUGUUCUGCUUUUGGUGUACAAAUGUCUACUCCAAUGAAACUGAGUCAAUCAUAGAUGUUUUAGGAUCCAUUUAGAUUUGGUUCAGUUUUUGGAUAGAUUUUACUCCUUUCUGCUUUUGUAAAUAUGGUUUUUCAGUACUACCUAAGUACUAAAUGAAAUACAAAUGUUACUAGUUUCAAAAAAAACAUAAGCAUAAAAUUAUGACUGUAAAAAAAAUAACAGGAUCUGUAACAUAAGCAAUGAUGUUAGUGAGCAACUCAACAGGAGCAAAGUACACGAAUAUUUAAUUGUGUAGAAGAAGAAGAAAAAGAAGAAGAAUAAGAAGUUUAGAAUUUUCGUUAUUUUAGAAUGAGAGGAAAUCCCUCUAUUUAUAGACAACAAAGGGUAGUGUGAACAAAUGUCUGUUGUGCCUUAUCGGAAAGGUCACAACUAUUUGGAAAAGUGGUCACAAUCUUUCAUAAAAGUCACAACUUUUCAUGAAAUGAAAGGUUGGUUUUGGAAAUAAAUAAUUUAAAAGGGAAUUCUGGUUUGUGGUGGCGCCACGUAGGCGGGCCUAGAGUUCUCUUUUAUAUAUAUAUAUAUAUCAUAUAUGAUAUGAUUAGUAUCUGUCGAAAACUUUAAGCAAUUGUUGAAUUCUUUUGCUUAGUGAUAAAGAAGAAUUUAUAAUGGUCAGCAUCACCUACUACUUUUUAUAUUGAUAGAUGGCAUGAUUUUGUUUGGUAUAUUUAUUCUAUCAUGCAUAUAUAGAGUUCUAAAAUUUCAUGGGAGCUUGUUUAAUGAACAACUGGAAUGCCAGAAAGCUGUUGUUUCCAAUCAUCUUGGUCUCCAGGUUGCUGUUUCUUUCUCUUAAUUGAUCGUCAACAUGUGACACAUUCAUGCGUCUCACAUCAUGCUAGAAUGUGGUUGUCACGUUGUUUUUCUUUUCUUAAGGUGAACAGAACUGUUCUUUAUCUAAGAUACCUUUCUGAUUGUGGCUGUUUCAUAUGUUUGAACAUUUCUGUGCUUUGAUAGAUUGUGAAAAAUUGAUUGGUUGUUCAUUAGUGCUAAGUUACUAUUCUAUUCACUGUUUUAUCUAACAGUUUAAGACCUUACUGCAGGGUAGAAGCUUGACAAUUCCUGAGAAAAUUAAUUAUCUACUUUUCAUGAUCAAUGCUUUCCAGGUACAUCUACAUCCUUAUUGCCGGAUCUUACUCUAAUUUUCUGAUCCAUUUCCCUUCACUUUGUGACUCUUGACUUUUUUUCUAUAUUAUGCUUUUUAUUUCUCUAAUUUUAGAUUGUAAAUGUUAUGAAGUAUGAAUAAACAUAUGUUCCCUGUUCUACUAAGCAUAUGAGAAUGCUGCAUCCAUAUUUCUUCUUCCUUAGUUUUACGAAAUUAUUCUUAACCUAUGUCAACGUUUAACGUAUCUCUGAGUCAUAUAAUCAAAUUCCUCACCGUAAGAAUUGCACUGUUAAUAGUAUGGUUGUACUUGGUUAUCUCCUUAUUUGGUUUCGGACAAUGCUUCCCGAGGUUCAUUUCUCAACACGGUGUAGGCGUAUAGCCCAAAUCCAUCUUGAAUGUUGGUAAAGCAUAAUUUUUUUUUAUCUUCACCGAUAAAGAAAAACGAAUAUCUUUUUACCAGCAACUGUUGUUAGGGUCUGAAUUUCUUUCUUGUGUUUUUUUCAUAGCUGCUAUACAAUUACUUUCCUAUUUUGUUUUCUGAGAAUGUUAUUGGUGUUCCUCGUUUUUUGGUUUGAUGAACUAUUUAUACUUUUUGUUCAUUUAGAGUUUAGAAGACGAGAUAGUGAGUAAAAAGGUUUUGAGGUUAGCCGGUCUACAGUGUUGGCAUUGCUUGUCAUAUGGUCGAUUUCAGGUAACUCUUACUAUGUUGUUAAAUGGAGUAUAAUCUUCCUCAUUCCAUGUUUCUAAUUUUAUUAUUAUCAUUAUUAUUAUUGAGAAUAGAUGGAGCUCUGUGUUAACCCUGAUCUAAUCAAGAAAUGGAAGAAAAUUGCAAAACGAGCCAAGGAGGCAGCUAAAAGAGGCGAAUCUUUUGAUACCUCAACCAUGCUAGAAGUGAAUUUCUUGAGACAUCUAAUUGAGGAGUUUCUUGAGGUAUCAGAUAAGGGACUUGUCUGACCAUUCUUUCCAGCUUGUUUUAGCAGAAAAAUUCUGAUGCUUCAUUCUCCAUGAUCAGGUUCUUGAUUGCAAGGUUUUUCCUCAGCCAGACAGUGAGGUCAAUAAUGACUUGGAUUUCACAAGUGAUUUUGAAGGUGUUAACGAUGCCUCUGUCCUAUAUUGUGAACGGUUUAUGGAGUUUCUCAUUGAUCUAUUGAGCCAACUGCCAACUAGAAGGUAAUAAUGCUCUCUGUAGUAAAGCAGCUUCCAAUGGAGAAAAAGGAUGCUGGCUAUGUAGCCCAAACAAUAAAAUGAGUGUCAUGUACAGUGUGAAGUCAGAUUCAAAGUGACAAGUGCUUGAAAAUUAGGAACAUGAUACCAUUCCAUUACAAUUUUUAGUUUUGUGCAGUGAUAUACCCACAAGGCAUUUUAGUUUAGAUAUGUUAGAAGUCUUUAAGAACACAUAAAAACAAUUUAGAGCAUUAUUUUCUUUCAUUUAGUUUUUUGUUGUGCUCCUUUUUCCAGAGCUUGGUGAGUUCUAAGUUUGACUGACGUCACUACCAUAGUUGUAUUUGCUAGUAUAUAGCAAGUUAGCAACACCAGAUUUAUUUCAACUAGGUAUUAUUUUCUCAUCAUCGCUUUUUCUAUUUGGUUAUCCUGCAGAUAUAUAAGGCCUGUUGUUGCUGAUGUUGCUGUGGUUGCAAAAUGUCAUUUAAGUGCUCUUUAUGGGCAUGAAAAAGGAAAGCUUUUUGCCCAGCUGGUUGACUUACUUCAGUUCUAUGAAGGUUUUGAAAUUGAUGACCAUUUAGGGAGACAAAUGACUGAUGAUGAGGUGAUUCAGGCUCAUUAUGAUCGUUUCCAGUCAUUCCAGCUUCUUGCAUUUAAGAAGAUACCCAAGGUCUGUUCUGAUUUCUGUUUCUUUUGAUGAUGAUGAGCAGCUCUGUAUAUUGUUUCUUUUAGGAUAAUGCCAGUCUCUGUGGACAAUCUAACUGUAUCAUAUCCAAUUUGCUUACAUCUCUCGCUCUCCUCUGUUUCUGUAGCUACGGGAACUUGCAUUGGCAAAUGUUGGUGCAAUACACAGGCGCGCUGAUCUAUCUAAGAAACUUUCUGUGCUUACUCCUGAGGAGCUGAGAGAUUUAGUAUGCCGGAAGGUUUGUGAAUGGCUGUUUACUAUCUCUGAUAUAUGACAUAGAAUACAAUCACUAUGCAUUAUUUAUCAUGUAAAGCUAUUCUAUAUAGAAAUUGUAAAGAGUGCAUGUUCAUUCACCCUUUUGGUAUUUUCCACGAGGAAAAAUUUGUGUAUACUCAGAAUCUACCAAGGGACUAAGGUGCACUACUUGUAUUGUAGAAGUUAGUUGUUGGGUGCUAAAGCUGUUGGUGAAGGGAACUAUAACCCUACAGUGAUAUUCUUCAACGGUGUUGAUAGUAAUGUUUGUAUGGCUUCUAUGUUGUACAUCGUUCCUCAAAUUGUGUGAGAAUUAGAUAUCAGCAGAAGUAGUGACACCUAGACGAUGGCUAAAUCAACUUUAUGACAGUUAAUGACUCAGCACAGCAUACAAUGUUGAAACAACCAAAAUGCAUAUCACUUUCUUAUGGAGAUGUAAGAUUCAAAGAUGGAUUAGCCCUGAAGGACUAAUUAUCUCUGUAAACUACUGAUUUAAUGGCUAGUGGGAUUACAAGUUUACAACUAUUCUCACUUGUCUUUACAUGUUCUCUCUGGUGAACCUAAGAAAUGGAAAACAAUCUUUGUUUACACUGUUUGACUUCCUUCAUUGAUUUGAUAUAUUGGGUUCUAUUAAUUAAAGAUGCCAACUCCUUCUUGUCUAUUUCCAUAUUGGCAUCAAUGCAUCUCCAGAUUGUUCUUGCUAAAUAGUUUUUUUUUUCCAGAUGAUUAUACAUUUCAUUCAGAUUGUUGCCUAGGGUUUCUAAUAAUGAUGAACUUGGUUACCUUUGAAAUGAUGGAGAAAUGAUUGUUUGUUUCAGGCAUUGAGGUCUAUAAGGACCCAAAAAAAGAAAAGAAGAUAUUUAAGACACAUGACUAGGAACUUCUGCACAACUUAUAUAGCUGUAUGACAAAAGCUAAAACAUGUUCGAUAGAAAAUAUAUGUUUUUUCAUUGAAGUGGAUUUCUGAUCAUUGCUGUUUGAUGUGGUGGUUGGUCUGUGCACUCCCUGUCUCCCUCUCAAGCAAACCUUGUUAUAUUUGCAAAGAAUAUAGAUAACUGUUCCUUUUACAAAGAAGUAGACACAUUUCUGUUGCUGUACGCUUUGAGAGAUAUCAUGUUGCAUAGUGCAUCUUAAACUGCUAAGUCAGUGGUGCGUUGUUGGUGGCCUAGAAAAUGCAUCUUUUACUUCAAAAUUGCUUUCUGGUUAUUAUUGCUACCUGUUUAAUAUUCCUGCAUUUGCUCUCUAUUCCCUAUGGUAGUUGUACUUACCUAACUCCACGAUAGCAAGAGUAAUUAUCUCCUGCAAGAUUGUCAUUGCUUGUCUGAUACCUUUGCCUUGAUUGCAGCUAAAACUGAUAUCAGUUGAUGAUCCAUGCUCAAAUAGAGUUGAUUUCUUAAUUGAAGUAAUGGUAUCUUUCUUUGAGAGACAACAGUCACAGAAAGAGGCCAUAAAUGCUCUUCCUCUUUACCCUAACGAGCAAAUAAUGUGGGAUGAAAGCCUUGUACCAAGCAUCAACUACACUGGGGAAGGAUGCCUUGCACUUCCAAAGCUCAACCUACAGUUUUUGACACUUCACGACUAUCUUCUUAGAAACUUUAACCUCUUUCGCCUUGAAUCGACUUAUGAAAUCCGUGAGGACAUCCAAGAGGCUGUGCCACAUCUCCUUGCUUAUAUCAAUAAUGAAGGAGAGCCAGCCUUUCGAGGUUGGUCGAGAAUGGCUGUGCCAGUUAAAGAAUUUAAGAUUACAGAAGUUAAACAACCAAAUAUAGGCGAAGUAAAGCCAGCUGCUGUAACAGCAGAAGUUACUUUCAGUAUCUCCAGCUACAAAUCACAAAUAAGGUCAGAAUGGAAUGCACUUAAAGAGCACGAUGUUCUAUUUUUACUGUCUAUUCGUCCUUCAUUCGAGCCUCUCAGUGCUGAAGAAGCUGCUAAUGCAACCGUACCACAGAGGCUUGGUCUCCAGUGUGUACGCGGCUGUGAAAUAAUUGAGAUGCGUGAUGAGGAGGGAAUUCUGAUGAACGAUUUUACUGGGAGAAUCAAGCGGGACGAGUGGAAACCCCCCAAAGGAGACCUUAGAACUGUUACUGUUGCGCUUGACACAGCACAAUACCAUAUGGAUGUUGGUGAUAUAGCAGAGAAAGGCGCAGAAGAUAUUUAUGGUACAUUUAAUAUAUUAAUGAGGAGGAAACCGAAGGAGAAUAAUUUCAAAGCCAUCUUAGAAUCUAUAAGGGAUCUGAUGAAUGAAACAUGCAUAGUUCCUGAUUGGUUGCAUGAUAUAUUUUUGGGCUAUGGAAAUCCUUCUGCAGCACAGUGGACUAAUAUGCCAGACCUCCUUGAAACAGUAGAUUUUAAAGAUACCUUCCUAGAUGCUGAUCAUGUUAGGGAGAGUUUUCCUGAUUAUCAGGUAUAUAUUGUUUUUCUUUCUCUUUACCAUUAUGCUGGUGUGUCCAUUAUACUCUCUAUAUCUUUCUCUGUUUCCUCAUCUUCUUUGUUCUAGGUUUGCUUCGUCGACCAAGAUGGCUUAGAAAACGUGCAACCAUGCCCCCCUUUUAAGAUUAAGCUUCCUAGGAAUCUCAAAGGGAAAGCUCAUGCCCUUCCUGGAAGUGAGAAUUCUACUACUGCUUCAGUUGAUGCUGCAGGCAUGCCAGAAGUUCAUUCCGAAAGAGACAAGCUUAUUGUCGAAGCAUAUAUCCCUCCUGAUCCAGGUCCAUAUCCUCAGGAUCAACCAAAGCGGAACUCGGUUAAAUUUACCGCGACACAGGUAUGCAUCACAUCACAUCACAUCAUAGUUUCCUAAAUUCUUAAAUGCUGUCAUCUGUUUUCUCAUAUUUGAAAAAAGGGCUAGCCGAAUGAUUAGUACUCAUCUAAUGUGAGUAUGCAGUAUUUAAUCAGGCAAGAAAUAUGAAGAUUCUAGUAACAAAGUGAAAUAUGAACUGGCUUUAUAGUUCACUAUAAGUUCAAAAUGACGUUAUAGUAAUAAUGAAUGCUGUAUGGGAUUCUUGAGUUGGCCUGCUACUUUCUCAUUGAAGUGAACAUGUGGUAUGGGUUCUUCUUUCUUCUAUUUUGGUUGGAUUACACAAGCGGUUGUGGUAUAAGGUAGUUCCCUUCCAUCUAACAGAAAAUCACUUGUUUCUUAAGAAGGCUGGAUCUAAUAUGUGCUUGUGAGCUCAUAAAUCUUGCAUUAGUCAAAAAGUUUUGCCAAUUUAAUUGCACGUAGUGCUACAACCCUCAGAUUUCAAGUACAGUGGGACUGACAUGUUUGCAGAUCAAAUUUUAAAAUGCCUACAAAGUGGACAAGUGCUUGACAUGUGAUGAAAUUAUAUCAAUGUGGAACUUGAAUUUGGUUGAGUGCAAUAUAUUUUACAUCCAGCAUGUGAUACUUAUGCGGAAUUUAGCAACUAUAUGGUGCCUCAUUAGGUAAAAUAUACUUAUUUGGAUAAGAGAUAAGACGUAAGAACCCCUGAACUACAGUGAAAUUGCUAUUUACAUACCUAAACUAUGGGAGAGUCCUCUUACUCCCUAACUUAAUUUUUAAUUUUUCCACAUUAUUAUAAAUUUUAAACCCCUGGAAUUAAUAUUUUCAUAUUAUUUUAACCCCUGAAUUAUUUUGUCCAGCUUUCGCUGUUGUCUAAGUGCAGUUUUUGAGUUUUUGCUGCUGUCCAGUUUUUGGUGGAUUUUUUGUUUAGUUUUGGCUGUGGUUUUGGUGCCAUUUUUUCUGCAAUUUUGCUGUAGUUUUUGAUCCAAUGGCAUGAACAAGAACAACAACUUGCAAAUUUUAUACAUCAAAUAAAUGUAGGAAACCUAUGCAAAAUAUCAACUUUAAAAGUAUGAUAGCUUUCAUAAAUGGAGGAAACCUAUGCAAAAUAUCAUAGAAUAAUUAUAGAUAUCAAAACCAGUGAUGCAACUUCACUGAUAUAAAUGUCGUGCAGAAGUGCAAUUAACCGUGCAAUAACAUCAUCCUAAUAGACACUGGUAUGUCACUCUGGGUGUAGUUUCCAAAUGUGUAAAUUCUAAUUUUAAAAGAAGUAAAUUUGUCUAGUCUGAUUUAGCUUUGGAAGUUGGUCAAGUUAGAGCUCAAUAAAAGAGAAGUUCAAUAAAUUAUGGAUGGAGGGAGUGCUUGGGGAUUAAGUUAGUUGUUCCACUCAGGAUUUUUUGAUUUGGCCUGUGACUUGUAUGUUGGUGGGCGUUUAAGUGUGAAAUUAGUGGACCUUUAGUUGUAGAGAAUCCCAAAUUGAGCAUAAUGAACAUAAAGGUUUCAUAUAGUCGGCUCCGACUAGAUAGGGAGUGAGGCAUAGGAGAUUGGUUGAUUUAAUGAGAUUGUAUCUGUUUGAAAGGCCAGAGGUAAAAGCAAAGUAAAACAGAUCUGUGCUCCUCUCACGCUGGUGUCAUCUUUCUUCCAUACGAUCAAAUCAAAUUUCUUCGACUUCAAGUUAUUGCUCUCUUUCACUCUCCUUGUAGCUGGUCUCUUUUAAGAUUCAAGUCUGAUUGCUUUAAUUUGGUUUAAUAAUCUGAUUGUUCCAUUUAAGUUUACUCUGAAAUUUUUGCUUUCUUUGGUGUCUUUCACUCUCUUUGUAGCUUGUCUCUUUUAAGAUUCAAGUCUGAUUGCUUUAAUUUGGUUUAAUUAUCUGAUUGUCCCACUAAGUUUACUCUGAAAUUCUUGCUUUCUUUGGCGUAUGUAGGUUGGAGCAAUCAUCUCAGGCGUUCAGCCAGGUUUAUCCAUGGUUGUGGGACCCCCUGGUACGGGAAAGACUGAUACCGCUGUGCAGGUUUUGAAUGUUCUCUAUCAUAAUUGCCCUUCUCAACGGACCCUGAUAAUCACUCAUUCGAAUCAAGCUUUAAAUGAUCUUUUUGAGAAGAUAAUGCAAGUAAGAUAUUUUCUGGGUCUUUGAUAUGAGUUAUAUGCAUUUAAAAUGUGAAUUUUUCAAUCUUAUUGUAACUAAUAAUAAUGAUGUUCCACUGUUGUAAUUACUAUAGAGAGAUGUGCCAGCUCGCUACCUUCUCCGGCUUGGUCAGGGAGAGCAAGAAUUAGCAACUGAUCUUGACUUCAGUCGUCAGGGGAGAGUAAAUGCCAUGCUUGUUCGGCGGCUAGAACUGCUUAGUGAAGUCGAACGCCUUGCAAGGUCCCUUCAACUGCCUGAAGAUGUUGGUUAUACAUGUGAAACUGCGGGAUACUUCUGGCUGCUUCAUGUAUACUCACGGUGGGAACAAUUUUUAGCUGCUUGCGCUGCAGAGAAAGAUAACCCAACCAUUGUUCAGGAUAAGUUUCCCUUUAAGGAAUUUUUUUCUGAUACUCCCCAGCCAGUUUUCACGGGUCAGUCUUUUGGAAAGGACAUGCGUUCAGCUAAGGGGUGCUUUCGUCAUUUGAAAACAAUGUUUCAAGAACUUGAAGAAUGUAGGGCAUUUGAAUUGCUCAAGUCUACUGUUGAUCGAUCUAAUUACCUGAUGACCAAACAGGCAAAAAUUGUGGCAAUGACCUGCACUCAUGCGGCACUUAAAAGGAAGGAUUUUCUUCAAGUGGGUUUUAAGUAUGACAACCUGUUGAUGGAAGAAAGUGCCCAAAUUUUGGAAAUUGAAACUUUCAUCCCGAUGUUGCUUCAGAGGCAGGAAGAUGGCUAUGCUCGGCUUAAACGCUGUAUACUGAUUGGGGACCAUCAUCAAUUGCCCCCUGUCGUGAAAAAUAUGGCUUUUCAGAAGUACAGCCACAUGGAUCAGAGUCUCUUCACAAGAUUUGUCAGACUAGGGAUACCAUAUAUUGAGCUCAAUGCCCAGGGUAGGGCACGGCCAAGUUUAGCUCGGCUUUAUAAUUGGAGAUACAGAGAACUGGGGGAUCUAGAGGCAGGAAGAUGGCUAUGCUCGGCUUAAACGCUGUAUACUGAUUGGGGACCAUCAUCAAUUGCCCCCUGUCGUGAAAAAUAUGGCUUUUCAGAAGUACAGCCACAUGGAUCAGAGUCUCUUCACAAGAUUUGUCAGACUAGGGAUACCAUAUAUUGAGCUCAAUGCCCAGGGUAGGGCACGGCCAAGUUUAGCUCGGCUUUAUAAUUGGAGAUACAGAGAACUGGGGGAUCUUCCUAAUGUGAAGGAGAAUGCGGUCUUUCAUAAAGCAAAUGCUGGAUUCUCAUACGACUAUCAGUUGGUAGAUGUGCCCGAUUACAAUGGCAGAGGUGAAAGUGCCCCUUCACCCUGGUUCUAUCAAAAUGAGGGAGAGGCUGAAUACAUAGUCAGUGUCUAUAUGUAUAUGCGCUUACUUGGAUAUCCUGCGAAUAAGAUAUCAAUCUUGACUACUUAUAAUGGUCAGAAACUUUUGAUCCGCGAUGUUAUAAACAGAAGAUGUGUCCCUUAUGACUUUAUUGGUCCUCCACACAAGGUAAAUAUACUUUUUCUUUAUCACUUUGAGCUGUAUCUGGUUGUUCCAGUGAGGAUCUUUAUUUGAAUUGGAAAGCAAAAUUUUCUCUAGCUUAUUUUUCUUUGGCAUGUUUCUUGGGAAUAAGGUGUGUGUGUAUGUCAUGGGAGAAGGGGUGGUUCUGUUGAAACAUGCUUUUAAGAGCUGUGGAUAGUACCUCAAAUGUCAUGAAUAGUACAACAUGUGAGUCUGUUAAGGUUGAAUAACCUCAAAUUUCAUAAAUAAUGCAAGUAUUUAACGUGUCUGUAUUUUGGAAUGAAUGCUUUCCUAGCAUUUCAAGGGCCCCCCAAAAGAAACAAUGGGGAAGUUAACAUAAAUGACUUAUAGUUUCUCACUUUGAAUAUUUGUUAAUUUUUUGGGGCAGGUUGCAACUGUUGAUAAAUUUCAAGGUCAGCAGAAUGAUUUUAUCUUAUUGUCUCUAGUCCGUACGCGCUUUGUUGGCCACCUCCGUGAUGUCAGAAGAUUGAUUGUUGCAAUGUCCCGUGCUCGUCUGGGUCUCUACGUUUUUUGUCGACGUUCUCUUUUUGAGCAAUGUUAUGAACUUCAACCAACGUUUCGACUUCUCUUAGAGAGACCUGAUUGCCUCGCCCUAAAUGUUGAGGAGGCCACAUCUUUGACAAAUCGUCCUGUUGGAGAAACUGGACCAGUCAGUGUUGUUAGUGGACCUGAGGAAAUGCAGGCUAUUGUGAAUUUUAAGAUGCAUCAGGUCUAUCAGGUAUUUUUCUCCGACUGCAAUAUAUGGAUAAUUUAUUUGGUUGACAUGGAAGCCUUGAGCAAUUUGCUAGCUUAGUCUUGUGGAUUUUAUUGAAAACCUUGGUUAAUGGGAGUAGUCUGACUCCUUUGCCGUUGAUAUCUGGGGACAGUUGCCACUUUUGGUUUAUUUUGCAUGAGUUCCUUCUCAAGUCACCGAUAAAUAAUAAUACACUGUAGGUUGGUGUAAUCUACUGUGACAUGCGUGAAUGUCUUCUAUGUUCUAUGAAACCUAGAGAAGAUGGUCCAUGGUAGUAGUGUCCCUUGUUAAGAUGAAAUGGUAGCAAUGCUGUAAAUGUUAACAAACUGUUCCUUCAUCUCAUUUUUGUGUAGUUAAGACAUUUUUGUGCUUAAUACCUUCUGCUCAAAUCUACACUUGCCCUUCACUUCUUAAUGUUUAUCUAAAUGCUUCUCAAUUUACAGCUUUUAUGAGCAUAUCAUAUUUCAAAGCAGGGUUCAAGCAGUACUCUGCUUUGAAAUCUAUAAAAGUGUAUGCACAAAUUUAUUAUCAUGGUAUUUAUUUUGUUAAUAAUUUGUUGUUGGACUUGUACCUGCAACUUCUUCACAGGCACGGAUGAUGAGCCAUAUUGAGUAUCCAGCUCAUCCAGAAUCUGUCCCCGAGCCAAGUGUUGAGCAGAAUGUGAUGUCCCUACCCCAUAGUAUGGAUACUGAUAAGACCGCUAUGGAAGAUGGCGAUACUGGGCCUUCAGAGUUAAUGGAGUCCACGAAGGUUCAACCUGAUGAUGGAGAGAUGUUAGUUGUGGGCCAUUCAAAUGGAGAGGUUGAUGGCGAGGAUCAAAGAGUUGUUAGUGGUGGACUGGGCACAUCAACUGGGUCCACAGAGGUUCCACAUGAUGAUGCAGAGAUGUUAGUUGCGAGCCAGUCAAAUGGAGAGGCUGAUGGGAAGGACCAAAGAGUUGAUAGUGACGGAACAGACCUCGAGAACUCUUCGAAUGUGGAAAGCAAGAUGGAAGAGUAAUAUCAACUGUACUCCAAGUUUGCUUCUCUAGACCACCAUGGAACUUGAUUGCCUGGGAAAUGUAAACUAUGAUCUUGAUUGUUAGCGGCCCUAAGAUGUAUUGAUCUUUAAGAAGGUUGUGAGGUCAAAGACCAGAUGUGGUGGAACAGCUGCAAAUGCAAUGAUAUGUUCCCUGCCAUCGACCUCCACAAGCGACACGAGUAAUUUGAAUACACAGGCCGUGACUUGGUUGAAGAAUAUGUAAAGCGAAAUUGUGCUUUCAUGGGUGUCUAGUAGCCCAUAUCAUCGGUAAAUCUGUAAUCAAUUAUUUGUAACGAUUGGAGGUGGGAAUGGGGCAUAGGCCGCACCAACUCAAGACUUAUUCGUCGUUCCUCGGUUGUCUUUUUGGUGAACUCAUAACUUAUUGUAAAGUAAAUUGAAAUGUACAAUUGUUUGUAUCGCUUAAAACUAGAUUUUAAGGGUUACAUAUUUUGAUUUUAAAAGUUUUGUUUUACUUGUUAGAUCUCUUGCCUCUGUAAUUGUAUUUGUUUCUGAAGUUUUUGUUGAAAAAUUCUGGACACUUCCUUUUCAAUCCCAAUUUUCUCAUACACAUCUUUCCAUAUUCCUAUCAUCAAAUCAAAUAUUUUCAUUUCCCAUUUUAUGAAACAUUUAGUUGGGGCAACUUGAAUUGUAGUAUGUAGCUAAAAUUUAAGAAAAUAUCAUGUGAUUAAAUAAAAGGGGAAUUAUACUAUUGUCAUUUGUAAUCUUUUCUUUGAAAGAGACGUCUAAAUACAUUUCAUAUGAUAAUAAAAAUAUGUUAUAUAGUACCAAUGUUACAUAGCCAACUCCUGUAUACAACUCUUCCCAUCUCUCUUCCUCCAAAACAAAGCCUAGGUGUCUCUAUCAAAAACUAAAUAAAAUAAGAAAAUACUCCAUUAGCUUCAAUUUAUUUGUCUAUUUUUUUUAGUCUGCCUCAAUUUUUAUUUUAUUUUUACAAUUCUUUAAUUUUAGUUUUUUAUAUAACAUGUUUAGUACGACAAGAUUAUUUAAUAUUUUAAUAUAUUAUACAUUUUUAAAAUUUAAAAUCAGAAGAUUAAAAAAUUUCUUUUAUCUUCUAAAACUUCAUAUCAAAUUAAAAUCAAACGAAGAGAGUAGUUAACAUUUCAAUUCUUAUACGUUCUAAACAUGUCAUGUCAGAUAAUGAUCUUAUAUGGAACACCAAUUAUUAUUAAAUUUAUUUCCAAAUAAAUAUCCGGGUCAGCUGCUAAUCCUGUGUACACAUUAUUUCACACCGCCGACGGCCGGCCGGCCCCGUCAAAUAGUCCAAACGCUGCCCUCAAUCAAAUGCUUUUUUUUUUUUAAAAAAAAAAAAAACUAAUUGUAAUAAAGUAAAAAAUAUUUUACCAAUUAUCCUUAAUAUUUAUCUUUAAGAAAAAUUAUCGGAAUCGAAACCUCACCAACAAGGUGGAGUCCAGCUAGCCAAUCAACUAAAAUACUAAGAUUCUCCUAAGUAAUAUUUUUAAAAAACUCAAUAAAACACCACUUAUUUUGAAAUAAGGAAAAAAUAAAAACACCAUUUAUUUAAAAAUAAGAACGAUAAAAAUAUCGCUUAUUUUUAAAAUGAAGGAAAUAAGUAAUCUAGAAGAUAGUGAGUUACACUAUAUUACUCCAACAAAAUAGGAAAAGGUGGAGGAAAAUCAGUACCAAAUUUUGGGGAAAGUUUUAAUGGGUUUACUUAGACUUCCUCUUUUCCCUACUUAAUAAAUUCCAUUCAAACACGCUCUGUUACAUUUUAUUUAAUUUAAAUUCGAAGCGUUAAUCAAUUUCAUAAUAUAAUGAAUAUUGUUUUUCCCCUUUAAAUUCUUAAAAUAAUCUGCAUAAGAUAUUUUUAUAAAGUAAACAUAACUCGUAUGUUACUUGCAUAUUUAUGGAGUAUUAGUUAUAAGAAAUAGUAUUACUUAUAACUAAUAAUUUAAUUUGUAGGACUGUUGAAAAUAUAACCAUCAAAGGACCACACAAUAAAUAAUAAUAAUAAAAAGAAAUGAAGUUAAAAGGAAAAGAAAAAGAAAAAGAGAAAAAGAAAAAAGAAAAGAGAAAAGAGAAAAGGUUGAGUGUGUGAUUUGCACAUUGUACAAGUCAUUCAAGAAUUUUUAGGACCAAGUCAAACAUUCAAGUUUAUAUUACUUCAUUCGUUUCAAUUUGUUUGUCUUGUUUUGAUAUAAUAAAAUUUUAAAAAGUAAAACUUUUGAAUCUUGUUGCCCUUUUAAUUUUCCGGUCAUACACAUAAAACAUGUCACGUGGAUAGCUGACAUUCUUUUUUAAGCAGAUAGGAAAGAAAAAUAAGAGAAAUAAAUUGAAACGGAGUAAGUAAUAUCAUUAUUGUGACGUGUGACUUCACAUCCAUACAAAACACAUCCUUCAUACCUCCCUCUCACAUGAAAAUCAUACUAUAAGAAAUUUUCACUAUAAUUAUUGAAAAAAAUGACCACAUGUAAUACAAAAAACAAAACACCACUUUCAAAUUCAAUAUUUUAAGGCACAUUAGCCCUUGUAAUACACGUCAAAUAAACUAAAAUGAUGAGCAAAACAGACAAACUAAUACUGUUAAGAGUUGAAACCAAGUCUUUGGUCUUCAUUUUCAUUUUCUUCUUUCAUACUUCAAAAACUUCAGAUGAGUGUGAAAGCAAAAACAUUAAUCAUACAAGUGUCUACUGAGCAACAAUCAAUUACAACCACACAUGACAGUAUGGAUUCUCCUCAAGAACAUCUCUCAGAGUUCAUGGAGAAACUGAGCUCAAUUCUCACUGAAUUGAAAGAUGAUAAAAGGGUAGUUAUGAUCAGUAAUCCUCAAAUUCAGAAAGCAAUUGAAUCACUUGAAGUCGAUUUUCGACGUGCCAAGUCCUUGGUGAAAAGCAGCAGAAUCUCCCCUACACAUGAUGAGAACAUUGAACAAGUGAUUCAGACUCUUGCAAGGGGUUUAGGCCUUGUGCUCUUUGCUAGUCAUGAUGUUGUCGAAAGUACUAAGAAGGCAGAGAUUGAGGUGCUGAGAAGAGAGUUGAUGAAGAUGAGUAGUGUUAAUAGGACUAAUUUGAUUAUGAGUUCGGAUGAAUCCGAGUUCUCAUCGUAUGAUCGAGGGGUAGUGGAAGAAGACGAUAGAACAACUAUAGAUGUCGAUGGGAUAGUGGAAGAAGACGAUAGAAUAGCUCUAGAUGUUGAUGAGAUAGUGGAAGAAAACGAUAAAAUAACUCUAGAUGUUGAUGAUGUUGUUGUUCAAAUCAAGUAUGGUGAUGAUGAACUUCUUAAAUAUGCACUUAAUGGAUUAAAGUCAUUGGUUUUGGAUGGUAUGAUUACUAAAGAAGGGAUUCAUCAUGAAGAUAUGAUCCCGGUUCUGUUUAAUCGAUUGAGUUCAAGUAAAACAGAUCAUAGAUUGAUUAUACUCAGAAUACUACAAGCCCUGGCCGCUCAAGAUGAUGAACAUAAGGUACAUUUAGUAUUAAUUGAGUCUAAAUAUUGAGAAUCAAGAAGCUGAAUGUUUUGAGUGGUUAAUUUUCACUUUGGUGUGCAGGAAAAGAUGGCAGAAAUGGGGAAUUUAUCGAUACUGGUGAAGUCGUUGGGUCAUGAUUUGGAAGAGCAGAAAGAAGCAGUGGGGCUGUUACUGAGUCUAUCAGAUGUUGCUGCAGUUAGGAGAAGAGUCGGGAGAAUUCAAGGCUGCAUCGUUAUGUUGGCUGCAAUUUUUAAUGGGGACGAUCAAAUGUCUUCACAUGAUGCUGCCAACUUGUUAAAUUCUUUAUCAGGCAAUACCCAAUAUGCUCUUCAUAUGGCUGAGGCUGGCUAUUUCAAGCCUCUUGUACACUACUUGAACCAAGGUAUAUUUAGGACACUUCCAUCAAUAUGCUAUUUGAUUAAUUGUUUACGUAAUAUAUAUUCUAUGUAAGCGAUUGCAGGAUCAGAUAUGAGUAAGAUUCUAAUGGCAACAGCACUUUCAAGAAUGGAACUCACAGAUCAAAAUAGAGCUAACCUGGGACAAGAUGGAGCCGUUGAACCGCUAGUCAAAAUGUUCACCUCCGGGAACCUAGAAGCUAAGCAAUCGUCUCUAAACGCGUUGCACAACUUGUCUGCCUUGAAAGCAAACGUUCAACGUCUUAUAAAAUUGGGCAUCGUUGCUACUCUGCUACAGCUUCUUUUCUCCGUGACAUCGGUGCUCAUGACUCUAAGAGAGCCAGCAUCUGCAAUUCUUGCAAAAAUAGCAGCUCAAUCGGAAGUUGGCAUAGUACUAGUGAAACAAGAUGUUGCUCAGCAGAUGAUUUCGCUCCUUCAUCUGACUAGUCCAGUAAUCCAGUGUCACUUGUUAGAAGCACUUAAUGCCAUCGCUGCUUGUCCGAAUGCUUCAAAGGUCAGAAGAAAAAUGAAGGAAACUGGCGCUGUUCGCCUUCUCUUACCAUUCCUAACAGAAAGCCGCAAUACCAAGAUUAGAAAUGGAGCUUUAAAUUUGAUUUACGUAUUGUCUAAUGAUAUGCAAGGCGGGGAGCUAAUGGAGCAGCUAGAACAAAUGCAUCUGAAUACAUUGAUCAACAUCGUAUCAUCAUCAUCCACGACAGAUGAUGAAAAGGCUGCUGCUGUUGGCAUACUAAGCAACUUUCCAGUGAGUGACAAGAAUGUCACAGACAUGUUUAUAAAAGCAAACCUACUGCCCAUUUUGGUUUCCAUAUUGACAUCAAGUACACCUACAACACCACAUUUACUAGCUGAGAACGUCUCUGCAGUACUAAUCCGAUUCACCCUUCCAUCAGACAAGAAACUACAACACUUCUCUGUCGAAAAUGGUGUGAUCAGCGUUUUGGUAAAGCUCCUCACAUGUGGCUCAAUCAUAGCCAAAUGUAGAGCUGCAACAUCACUUACUCAACUAUCUCAAAACUCACUCACUCUACGAAAAUCAAGAAAGUCAAGAUGGUUUUCAUGUGCCCCUCCACAUUCUACAGACACAUUUUGUCAAGUACAUGACGGGCACUGCUCUAUAAAAACCACAUUCUGUUUGGUAAAAGCAGGGGCAAUGCCUCCGCUAGUCCAAAUAUUGCAAGGCAACGAAAGAGCAGCGGACGAAGCUGCUCUAAGUUGCCUUGCAACAUUACAACAAGACGAGAUUUGGGAAAAUGGGAGCAACUUGUUAGUGAAAAUGUCAUGUGUACAACCAAUUAUCAAGAUUCUUGAAGAAGGGAUUAGCUUAAAAGCUCAAGAGAAGUCCCUGUGGAUUUUGGAAAAGAUAUUCAAAGUGGAGGCUUAUAGAGUAGAGUAUGGUGAAUAUGCACAAGUUGUGCUAAUUGAUUUAGCACAAAAUGGGGAUUCAUUGUUGAAACCUACAGUGGCUAAAUUAUUAGCACAACUUGAGCUCUUGCAGCAACAAUCAAGUUACUUUUGAGACAAAGCAAAAACAAAAAAACUUCUUUUUUUCCCCAAUUAUUUGUUGAUUGAUUGAAAUGUUGAAAUUUGUAUAGUAAGUGCUCAUACAGAUAAACUUUUUUAUGGUGCAAAUGUUCUCUCAUUGUACAAAUUACAGGAAAAAAAGGUUAUUAGAGAUGACUGAAACUUGUUGUCUUCAGAAAGUACAUUAUUUUAGCUUUGGCUGCCAUUUUGGUGCCAUUUUUUCUGCAAUUUUGCUGUAGUUUUGAUCCAAUGGCAUGAACAAGAACAACUUGCAAAUUUUAUACACCAAAUAAAUGAAGGAAACCUGUGCAAAAUAUCAACUUUACAAGUAUGACAGCUUCAUAAAUGGAGGAAACCUCGGCAAAAUAUCAAGAAUAAUUAUAGAUAUCAAAACCAGUGAUGCAACUUCACUGAUAUAAAUGUAGAGCAGAAGUUCCCUUAACCGGGAAAUAACAUCAUCCUAAUAGACACUGGUAUGUCACUCUGGGUGUAGUUCCCAAAUGUGCAAAUUCUAAUUUUAAAAGAAGUAAAUUUGUCUAGUCUGAUUUAGCUUCGGAAGUUGGUCAACUUAGAGCUCAAUUAAAGAAAAGUUCAAAAAAUUAUGGAUGGAGGGAGUGCUUUGGGAUUAAGUUAGUUGUUCCACUCAGGAAUUUUUUAUUUGGCCUGUGACUUGUAUGUUGGUGGGCGUUUAAGUGUGAAAUUAGUGGACCUUUAGUUGUAGAGAAUCCCAUAAUGAACAUAAAGGUUUCAUUUAUUCGGCUCCGACUAGAUAGGGAGUGAGGCAUAGGGGAUUGGUUAAUUUAAUGAGAUUGUAUCUGUUUUAAAGGCCAGAGGUAAAGCAAAGUAAAACAAAUCUGUGCUCCUCUCAUGCUGGUGUUGUCUUUCUUCCAUACAAUCAAAUCAAAUUUCUUCGACUUCAAGUUAUUGUCUCUUUCACUCUCCUUGUAGCUUGUCUCUUUUAAGAUUCAAGUCUGAUUGCUUUAAUUUGGUUUAAUAAUUUGAUUGUCCCACUAAGUUUACUCUGAAAUUAAUGCUUUCUUUGGCGUAUGUAGGUUGGAGCAAUCAUCUCAGGCGUUCAGCCAGGUUUAUCCAUGGUUUGGGACCCCCUGGUACGGGAAAGACUGAUAAUGCAAGUCAUUGGUUUUGGAUGGUAUGAUUACUAAAGAAGGGAUUCAUCAUGAAGAUAUGAUCCCGGUUCUGUUUAAUCGAUUGAGUUCAAGUAAAACAGACCAUAGAUUGAUUAUACUCCGAAUACUACAAGCACUGGCCGUAUAAGAUGAUGAACAUACGGUACAUUUAGUAUUUUAUUGAGUCUCAAAUAAUGAGAAUCAAGAAGCUGAAAGUUUUGAGUGGUUAAUUUUCACUUUGGUGUGCAGGAAAAGAUGGCACAAAUGGGGAAUUUAUUGAUACUGGUGAAGUCGUUGGGUCAUGAUUUGGAAGAGCAAAAAGAAGCAGUGGGGCUGUUACUGAGUCUAUCAGAUGUUGCUGCAGUUAGGAGAAGAGUCGGGAGAAUUCAAGGCUGCAUCGUCAUGUUGGUUGCAAUUUUUAAUGGGGAUGAUCAAAUGCCGUCACAUGACGCUGCCAACUUGUUAAAUUCUUUAUCAGGCAAUACCCAAUAUGCUCUUCAUAUGGCUGAGGCUGGCUAUUUCAAGCCUCUUGUACACUACUUGAACCAAGGUAUAUUUAGGACAUUUCCAUAAAUUAUAUGCAGUUCAAUAAGCUAUUUGAUUAAUUGUUUACGUAAAAUAUAUAUUCUAUGUAAAUGAUUGCAGGAUCAGACAUGAGUAAGAUUCUAAUGGCAACAGCACUUUCAAGAAUGGAACUCACAGAUCAAAAUAGAGCUAACCUGGGACAAGAUGGAGCCGUUGAACCGCUAGUCAAAAUGUUCACCUCCGGGAACCUAGAAGCUAAGCAAUCGUCUCUAAACGCGUUGCACAACUUGUCUGCCUCAAAAGCAAACGUUCAACGUCUGAUAAAAUCGGGCAUCGUUGCUACUCUGCUACAGCUUCUUUUCUCCGUUACAUCGGUGCUCAUGACUCUAAGAGAGCCACUAUCCGCAAUUCUUGCAAAAAUAGCAGCUCAAUUGGAAGUUGGCACAGUACUAGUGAAACAAGAUGUUGCUCAGCAGAUGAUUUCGCUCCUUCAUCUGACUAGUCCAGUAAUCCAGUGUCACUUGUUAGAAGCACUUAAUGCCAUCGCUGCUUGUCCGAAUGCUUCAAAGGUCAGAAGAAAAAUGAAGGAAACUGGCGCUGUUCGCCUUCUCUUACCAUUCCUAACAGAAAGCCGCAAUACCAAGAUUAGAAAUGGAGCUUUAAAUUUGAUUUACGUAUUGUCUAAUGAUAUGCAAGGCGGGGAGCUAAUGGAGCAGCUAGAACAAAUGCAUCUGAAUACAUUGAUCAACAUCGUAUCAUCAUCAUCCACGACGGAUGAUGAAAAGGCUGCUGCUGUUGGCAUACUAAGCAACUUUCCGGUGAGUGACAAGAAUGUCACAGACAUGUUAAUGAAAGCAAACCUACUGCCCAUUUUGGUUUCCAUAUUGACAUCAAGUACACCUACAACACCACAUUUACUAGCUGAGAACGUCUCCGCAGUACUAAUCCGAUUCACCCUUCCAUCAGACAAGAAACUACAACACUUCUCUGUCGAAAAUGGGGUGAUCAGCAUUUUGGUAAAGCUCCUCACAUGUGGCUCAAUCAUAGCCAAAUGUAGAGCUGCAACAUCACUAGCUCAACUAUCUCAAAACUCACUCACUCUACGAAAAUCAAGAAAGUCAAGAUGGUUUUCAUGUGCCCCUCCCCAUUCUACAGACACAUUUUGUCAAGUACAUGACGGGCAUUGCUCUAUAAAAACCACAUUCUGUUUGGUAAAAGCAGGGGCAAUGCCUCCGCUAGUCCAAAUAUUGCAAGGCAACGAAAGAGCAGCUUCGUCCGCUGCUCUUUCGUUGCCUUGCAACAUUACAACAAGACGAGAUUUGGGAAAAUGGGAGCAACUUGUUAGUGAAAAUAGUCAUGUGUACAACCAAUUAUCAAGAUUCUUGAAGAAGGGAUUAGCUUAAAAGCUCAAGAGAAAUCCCUUCGGAUUUUGGAAAAGAUAUUUAGAGUGGAAGCUUAUAGAGUAGAGUAUAGUGAAUAUGCACAAGUUGUGCUAAUUGAUUUAGCACAAAAUGGGGAUUCAUUGUUGAAACCUACAGUGGCUAAAUUAUUAGCACAACUUGAGCUCUUGCAGCAACAAUCUAGUUACUUUUGAGACAAAGCAAAAACAAAAAAACUUUUUUUUUUUCCAAUUAUUUGUUGAUUGAUUGAAAUGUUGAAAUUUGUAUAGUAAGUGCUCAUACAGAUAAACUUUUUUAUGGUGCAAAUGUUCUCUCAUUGUACAAAUUACAGGAAAAAAAAGGUUAUUAGAGAUGAAUGAAACUUGUUGUCUUCAGAAAGUACAUUAUUUUAGCAUUUUGGUUUCUGAUCCGUGUCCUAUACCUACAUUGAAGUCUGAUUAAUUCAUAUCACAUAAGGCUUAUUCAAGAGAAGAUCAAUAUUUUUUUUGUAUUCAAGACUCGAAAUCGAGAUCUCUGCUUAAAAAAAAGAAAUAAUCUUAUCAGUUACACAAUGGUUAAGCUCAAUGAAUGAGUGAGCAUGAAAUAAUGUUAGUGACUGAUUAAUUAAAUUUAGAGACAGAUAGAAGUUCAUAACAAUGGGAAGUUGAGAUAAAAAAGAGGAAGCAACAUGUAUUUAUUGCUUUCAAUUAUGUAGCUGAUGUACUGAUAAAAUUUGGCAAAAACUUAGCUUCUUUUGACGAAUGCCAAUCUUGAAUACCAUUAUAAUAUAUAUGCCUUAUCUCUAGAAUAUGUAUUUAUUGCUUUCAAUAGUAAAAACUAAACUUUGAAACAACUAGCUAGGGUUGUGUAUCGGUAGGUUCGGUUUUAUAUCGAUUUGUAGAGAUGCUAAACCGUUAUAGAAUCAUUAAGAUAUUGACUUAUCGAUCGUUAUCGGUUUAACCAUUAAGAUUUGACACAAAAAAACAUUGAAAAUCACUUUAAAACAAGGUGACAAACCAAAUGAACCAUGCACAUGACUCAUGAGUUCACAAGUUACAUCUUUCUCAAAAGCAAACACUUUUAUAUUAUAGAAUAACCAAGAGUUUGAGACAACCAGAAAUAAAAGUAGAAAACCAAACUCUAAGUCAAGGACUUUAUAUACAAAAAGGUAUAAAUAUAAUUAUUUAAUUUACUAUUGAGUUAUCGGUUAACCCAUUUUUUUCCUAAAACUGUUAAGAACCGAUAACCCAAUAACAAAAAAAAUCAAAACCAUUAUCAAAACCGCUAAACGAAUAAUCCAUUACGGAUAAAUCAAUAAAAAAAAAUUAUUCAAAUUAUCAGUUUCGAUUCGAUUUUGAACCGCCCUAGAAAUAACUCCGGCAAGAAUAGUCCCUUCUUGUAAUAGAGUAGUAUUUUUAAUUCCAGUAAUAUAAAUAAAUAAAACAUCUCUUUCGGUGAAAAAAAGAAGAAAAAAAGAAAGUUUACGAGUUAUUUAUAAUUAGUACUAGUAUAUAGGAGAUAAUGAGUAAUAUGGUUACUCAACUAUGAACUUUUUGUAAAGUUACUCAACUUUAAUUUUUAAGUCGAAAGUCAUUUAAUUAUAAACUCUUUUCAUAUAAAGUCACUUAAUUUUGAUUUUUAAUACAAAAUUACACAAUUACAAACUCUUUUCACAUAAAGUCACUCAACUAUAAAUAUUCUACUGGUCAUUCAACCAUUUUGAUUAAUUUUUCCAAUAAAAUUAUUGACAUGAAAGUUAUUUAAAACUAAAUUUUUAAAAAAAUAUAUCAUUUAAAUCAUAAUGGACUGAUUUAACCAUCAUGACAUGCUCUUUCAGAAUCUUCUCCUAUAUCAAAAAUUUCCAAAAUAUGAAAUUACUGUAUCAUAAUUGCAAACCAUAUUAAUUGUGAACCGAGUAAUUAAGGGAAGUUAUGAAUUCAAUGACAAGUUCACGAUACAUAAUAAACUUCAAAAGUUAACUCCACCUCCAAACGAACGUAGGUAUUUAACAAUUACUCUCUUGGAUUUUACUCUCUCUAUGGCUAAUUACUUAUCCUUUUUUUUUUUAAUUGUCUCUAAUUACUUGUCCAUUUUGACAAAUUAAGAAAAGACAAAAUUAUUAUUACCUAUUACACCCUCAAUUAAUUACUUUUAAAAAAAGUAGAACUUUUUAAAAAUCUUAAGUUUUUAAUUCAUCACUUCAUAAUUAAUAGUGAUAAAAUGGUAACUCACUAUGUUAAUAAUAUUUUUUUAACAGAUGUGUCAAUUCAAAAGUGGACAAAUAAUUAUGGAUAGAGAGGAGUAGGGGGUGUUCACGGUUUGGAUAAAAACCGAUCCAAACCGAAAAAUCGAACCAAACCGAUAAAAUAAAACCGAUUUUUAUUUAGGUUUGGUUUGGUUUGGUUUUGGUUUUUAGAUUUUUGAAAACCGAUAGUAUUUGGUUUGGUUAUGAUUUUAUUAAAAAAACCGAGAAAUAACCGAACCAAACUGAUGAAUUAUAUACAAAUAUUUUUAUUAAAUAUACAUACUUAAUAUAUUAUUUUUAUAAACAAUUUUAAAGAUCUCAUAACGUUUUCAUUAUAAUUUCUUUAUAAUUUACUUAUUGAAAGUAAAAAUGUCCAAGGUAAAAACAUUUAUUUUAUUGAUUUCAUGUAUAAGAGUGUCAAUGACAAUUCUCUGUGGGAUCCUUCUCAAAAAAAAAAACAAUUCUAAGAGUGUCAAUGACAAUUCUCUGUGGGACUGAAAAUGUUAAUGUCUCUUCCUUCUAAGCCAAUAUAGUGAAUUUUAAAGCUUUAAUCAUAAUAAAUUCAGUGAUAGAAAGUUCAAUAAUUUAAGUCAUUCUAACUAUUUUUUUGUUUUGAAUGGAUUGUUGUCACUUUUUUCACAUUUUGAAAGAAUUUUUUCUUUUAUUUUCGUGUAUGGUUAAUAACCGAAUCAAACCAAACCGAAACUGAUAACCACCAAAUCGAUAAAUGUAUAUUAUAUUUGAUUUGAUUUGGUUUUGAUAAUUUUCAACCAAUUAAGUUGGUUUGAUUUUAGUUUUGAUCAAUAAUCAAUCCAAAUCGACCUGUAAAUACCCGUAGAGGAGUAUUUAAUUUGGCACUAUCUUUAAUAAAAUAGAAAGAAUAUAUUUUUAUUGUUAUUUUUACGAGUUGUACUUCACCAAAAUAGUCUCCAAUUAUAGGCAGUUUAUGCAUGGUGUUUACGUCGAUAUCUCCACAUCCGCCACGUUUUCAUGUAUAUAUGCGACUCAGCUACUCGCCCCCCCCUUUCAUACAAAUUGCUCUUUUAUUUACUUCUUUUCUGAAAAAAUGAAAAAGGAAGAGAAGAAAUUAAAAUGAAGUUAGAGAGUGUAGUGGUUUCAGCAGCCAUUAAUUUUGGCUUAGCUAUUUUCAUUCUCUCUCUUUUUGCUUUACUCAAAAAACAACCUUUCUAUGCUCCCAUCUAUUAUGCUCGCCGCCUCUACUUAGGCCACCGUAACCUUCAUGAUUCCGACCACCGGGUUUUUAGUUUCCGGCGAUUGCUUCCGGAGAUCGACUGGAUUUUUCGUGCCGUUCGGGUUACUGAGGAGGAGAUUCUACAGAAUUGUGGCCUUGAUGUCCUCGUCUUCGUUAGGCUCUUCAAAUUUGGGUGAGUCGCGUUGUCUAAUUAUAUGAAUUUCUCUGUUUCUAGUUCCAAAUUGCUAUAUAUGAAUUGUCUUAAUUACAGCUUCUUCUUUUAUUUUUUAGAAACUCAUUAUUGAAAAAUAGAGAAACACUAGUGAUUAGAGGUUUAUUGAUAAUGAAAGAUCAUGCAGAUAUAAGCAGCCCUUCUUUUAUAGUCUUCAACUCAAUUUAUGUGUCGUAGUUUAAUUGAGCUAGCUAGACUAAUAAAGUAGGAUAACAACAACGUAACAACCGCUAAACUUCGCUCCAUUUAGACCUUUCCAACGCUGGUUUUCAUUAAGAAGUAAUCUAGCAAUAUACUAUAGGGGUGGGAGUGGGAACUCGGUGGUGGGGGAUGGUCAAGGGGUAGGGGUUGGGGGCGUUGGGUCGGUGGAAAGGAUACAAUAAACAUAAAAUAUCACUUAUAGAACUUAUUUUCCCUACUUCCAUUAAGGAAUUCCUAGAAAAAAAAGUUUUCCAAAAUUUUUGUCCAAAAUAAGAAAACAUUUUCCAGAAAAUAAGAAAACAGUUUUCAGAAAAUAUUCUCAUCCAUACCAUACACACCCUAAGCCAUAAUCUCAACUAAUUGGCAUCGCCGACAUGGUUUCUUUUCUGAUUGUGCUUUAUUUUUUGUGGAGUCUGUAUGAACUCCGAGAGUUUAGACAACUUUAUUUUUGUAUACCUCGUACUCCUUUUAACAUCUUUGAACUAUCAUGGUUUCACAUCUAUGGACCUUUUUCUAGACAAUUUUAUUUUUGUAUACCACCUUAAACCAUCUCGGUUUCACACUUAUGGACUGUUGCAUCUAGCGGUCUAAGUAGGACAAGAUCAAACCAUUUUCAAGUAAUCUCUCAUUUUAUUCUCCAUGAGCUACUUGAGUCUGUUGAGUUUGAUCACUAAUAAUAUUCAUCUCUGAAGGAUUAUUACUCUCUUAGUUUAACAACUUCAAAUAAGGAUUUUCCUUCACCAAUCCUAUGUUGUGUCAUGCAUGGGGAAUAGUUCUAGGUAUAAGGUUCUUUAUAAAGUAAAGUUCCAUAAGUUGAGCUAUCCUCUGAAUGUCAUGGUAUUUGUGGUUAGAGAAUGACUUAAAGUAGAGGAUUACGGAUCUUGAAAGGUGAAUGAGGUUAAUUGAUUAUAUGACAUGUUAACAUCUAUGACUAAACACACAUUCUCACAUAAAGUUAUUCCUAGUUUAAUAAUCUUUGGUGACAUGCAAGGAUUAAACUCACAUUGCUGCUUGGAACCAUUCUUCAGGAUCAGAUUCUUUCUUGUUUGUUCUAUUGUUGGGCUUCUGGUACUUCUCCCGCUAAAUUAUACUGGGAGUAAUGGACCAAAUACGAGCUCUCAUUCCAUGGAUGCUUUCACAAUAUCUAAUAUCAGCAGAGGCUCUGACAGGUUAUGUUCUCAACACUUCCUUAUUUCCUCAAGUUGAUGCAGAUAACAUGCCUCACCUAUGCUAAGUGUUAUCUACAACCUGGUUUAUCAGUCCUAUGACAGUUCAUAAUUCACAUUUCACACAAACUUUUAGGUCUUGAAUGCUAAGUUGCUAAUACAAAUGCUGAGUUCAUUUCUUGUAACAAAAUCUGGACAGCUGUUGCAUAUAGUUGUUUAGUUCUGAAAUGACAUUACAAUCCAGAUGUGCUUUGAAAGAGUCCUGUUAAAUUUUUAUUUCUAUAAGUUAUAAAGUUUAAUUAAUGCAAGAAUGGGAAGCAGUAAGGGUUGUAUAACUGAGGUAGAGAGCUCCCUAUCGUGUUGUUGUCUUGUCUCAAAGUCUUCAAACAAGAACCUUAAGGAGCUACAUGUUUGAACAAUAGUGGGGAAUGUCUUGCACAGUGAUUUUAAGCACCCCUUUUUGACUUUCAUAUACCAGGUACCUUUCUCGUAAGAUGUCUGAAUGUCCAGCAAUGUGAACAUAUUUCAAGUUCAUUUUGGCUAUUGGGAAUUGAGACAAGUUUUUUAAUUUGGAAGAGCAACUAAAAAGAGACCUGGAGAAAGAGAAUGAAGUGUACCAAAGCUAUUAAAGAACCAAGUCACUUGGCUUCUUUAAAUGGUUAAGGAAGGAAUCAGGAGUUAAGUUUUGUUUUCAUUUAGAUUGGAGAAGCAUUUGACCGUCUAGCUAAGGAGUUCAGACUAGUUAUUUUAAGGUAGAAACAAAUUUAAGUCUCAUAACCCAUGUUCGCUUGAUGAGGAGCUGCAAAGUCGCAGCCCUAACCCUAUUAAGGGGGGGAGGGGGGGUCAAAUAAGAUGGAUUGGGCUAAACAUUGUCUCAUAAGCCAACCGCGCAACUCAUAAUCAUUUUUCUUUUGUUUGUUUGUUCUUUUAUUAUUUGCUUUAUUACCUAAUUAAACUAAUUAUAGCCUUUUCUUUUAUUUCUUAUGACCACCAAACAAAAUGAACUUUGUUUUUAGUGGAUCAAAACUGACUGCAUAUGCAGCUUAAAGUGGAUGUUUUUAGAUGGGUUAACUUUGGCUAUGCCUAAAAUAAACUGCCAAUGAAUAUAGCCAAUUUUGGGAGGUUGGACGUAUUAUAUCCUCAUGGGCUAAAAUUGACACCUCUACCUGUGCCUAAAGCAGAAUCAUUGGAUUUAAGUCGAGGCCGACUCCAAUCCUUAAAUUAAGGAACAGCUACCUAGUACAUUUUGAUGUUGUCAAGUCUCAAAUGCUUUGUGAGCAAUAGUUUCUACGAGUAGGAAAAUGUUUUCUCCUAAUUUCUUUAGUUCCUGAAUCUUCUAAAACUCAAUUUCUAAGUGCUCACAGCUUUCAAGCUGUGUGUAAUAGUAGUUAAAAUGCUUAGACCAUAAAUUGUGUGUAUUGCUUGUUAGAUGGUUAUAUGAGAUUAUGUCAUAAUACAUCAUCACUGUUAAAGAACUCCUUAAAUAAGUCUUAACAAACUAGGAUACGGUUGCUUCUUAUUUGAAGCUCCAAGAGUGGUGUUCAUCAACUAUAAUCAAUUUUUUAAAGCUGUUAAUCAUAGUAAAUCUUCAGGACUAAGAAAGUACUGAGAUAUGUAUAAUGAGAAAACCAAAAAGAAAAACCAACCCCUUUCUAUUCUUGUUAGGAUUGUAAAAGCUAAGUAUCGGUACUAUUUUAUUUACAAAUUCUUCUUUGCACUGAAAUAUCACAAACUGCACAGUCAAGCUUGAUCUGUUGAAUCGAGUUAGCAUUAUAUUGCAAACAUCUUGUACCUUCCACACAGUCCACCAAAUGCAUGCUGGUAUGGUUCCACCCCGCUGUCUUCCCUCUAAUGCUUUUGUUACGACAUUGUAAUAAUUGAGUUGUAGCUUUGGGCAUCACCUAUCUAAGACCCACAAUGUUCAGAAAGAUUUGCCAUAAUGCGCAGUCAUGCUGCAGUGGAUAAAGAAAUGAUUACGUUUUCUGUUCAUUUCCACAGAAGUGACACCUCCUGCACAAAAUGAUGCCUCUUCACUGAAGAUUACCCUGUGUUAAACAUGCCUUUUUGGCCACUGACUGUGAAACAAGCCACUUUAAAGAGAGCAUGUGUUUUUCAGAUUUGAAUCCAUGGUCACUGGUUGUUCUGUGUGCCAGCAUGUGAAUAACGCGUGUAGCAUGAAUUGACUGCACAAAUGCUUCUGUUACCAUCUUUAGUUUAACGUAGUUCUAUAUUAGUCGUUCAGAUAGCAUCAAAUUUUAUAGCCAAUAGCCAUCUUCAUUCUUGUCUCUUAGUUGAAUGUACUCUGUUACAUGGUCAAAUAGUUGAGUUCUUACAAAAUGGACUCAUUUUGCAUUUAUUCUGUCAUUCACAGGCUUUGGGUGCAUUUUUCUUUCUUGUGUUUCGUCUCGUGUUAUGGAAUGUACCUACUUUACAAGGUAAUGUCUAGCUUGUACUCUUGAAGUCAUGCUUUACACUGAUUUUGACCACUAUGGCUUCUUAAUAUCGUUGAUAAGUUGUGAUAUUUGAAAAAGUUUGUCUUCUCUAAUGGGAGUUUGCUUUGCCUUUCAAAGAUAUUGGGUGUAAAGAGAAAGAUAGUCGAUCCUCUUUGGUGCAGCCGAGAGUGUUAUGUAAAAAGGACAUCGUAGAUGUAAUGGUUUCAUAACCUCUUUUUGUUGUUCAAAUCCUCUUUUGCAGUAAUAUGCUGACAUCUAAUCAGUGUUCUUAGGGAUAAUUUUGGAGACCUCCCCUCAGGUUUGGCUAAAUAACACUAACCUCCCUUGUGGUUUACAAUAUUAUGCUUUCCUUUAUUUUGAAACUUUUGUAACAUUUCUUUGAACCCAAUAAUUAUUAAUAUAAAAAUUUAUGAUCGGACUAAAUUUCCCUUCCUAAUAUACUUUUUGUUUGAUCAAUUCUGUAAACACACUUUAAAAGUUCAUUUGACCGUGUUCCUCAUCACCCCCCAACAAUCCCACCACUUCACUCAAAAAUCUCUCUCCAUCACUUUGCUCAACUCAAAUCACAUUUUCAACUUUACCACUAGUUGAUCUACUCCCUGUGAAAACAUCCUCAAAAAAAUCCAAUUGAACUUGUCAAUAUCGCAAUCUCUGUUAUGAAAGUGGGUAAAAGUCCCACAUUGGUUGGGGAAUGGACUGGUGGUUCCUUAUAUGGACUUGGACAAUCCUCCCCUCAUAAGAUAGCUUUUGGGGUUGAGUUAGGCUUGGGUGUCAUAUCUUUACAUGGUAUCGUAGUCAGGUCCAUCCCUGUUUGGACUCCCGGUCCACGUUCCAGUUGGGCCUGGGCGUGAAGGGGGUGUUAGAGUGGGUAAGAGUCCCACAUUGGUUGGGGAAUGGACUCCAGAAGGGCCUAGGCGUGAAGGGGGUGUUAGAUUGGGUAAAAUUCCCACAUUGGUUGGGGAAUAGAUUGGUGAUCUCCUUGUAUGGACUUGGAAAAUCCUCCCCUCAUGAGCUAACUUUUGGGGUUGAGUUAGGCCCAUGUGCCAUAUCACAUAUCUUUACAUGGUAUCAGAGUCAGGUUCAUUCCCGUUUGGGCUCCCGGUCCACACUUCAGUUGGCCUGGGCGUGAAGAGGGGUGUUAGAGUGGGUAAAGCCCCACACUGGUUAGGGAAUGGACUGGUGGUCUCCUUAUAUGGACUUGGGGCAAUCCUUUUCUCAUGAGUUAGCUUUUGGGAUUGAGUUAGACUCAGGUAUCAUAUCUUUAACAUCAUUUACAAAAACUGAGUCAGAUCUAUGUACCAUUUUAAACCAAAAAGUUCAUGAUUACAAGGCAUAUAAAAAGUUUGUCACGUUAUGUGGAGCAGCAAAUUGGAAAGAUAUACCAAGAAAUCAGAUUUCAAUGCAUAAAAUCAACCCCAAGUGCAAAGUAACUAAAUUUAUGUGAUAAAGAAACAAUUCAUUUAAAGAACUUUUAAUAUGUGCUUACAGAAUAAAUAAUUAAACAAGAAGUAUAUUAGGAAGGGUAAUUUAGUUCGAUCAUAAAAUUUUAUAUUAACAAUAAUUACCUUAAAAGAGUUAUUACAAAAAAUUGAGAAUCAGGGAGGUAGGCCUAAUAUCUAAAAGAGUUGUUACAAAAACCUCAAAAUUAGGGAGGUAGGCCUAAUAUCGUGAACUGCAAGGGAGGUUAGUGUUAUGGAGCUAAAUCUGAGGGGAGGUUUGAAAUUAUUCCUAUUUUUUUUAUAACUUUUUCAGAUAUAUAGAAACACUUCUAGUUGGCAAUCUAUCCAACUUGGAAUUGUUUAUAUUUGUGAUUCGGUGAAAUCUUUCUUUAUGGAAAAAUAGUUAUUGGGUCAACUUCAUUUUUUCUUGGGAAUUUUGCAUGGAUAUAAUCCAUAAAGUUGUAUGACAUUAAAAUUUUCUGUACCGUGGCCUCUUCAGGAGUACAAUGACAUUUUUAUCAAAAGGAUUCAGCAGUUAUGUAACAGAAGGUGCGAACCUGAACAAUUCACCAUUCUGGUUCGAGAAAUUCCAUUUUGCAAUGAGCACAAUAUCCGUGGGUGCAACGUAGACCACUUUUUUUCCAAACAUCAUCCCUAUUCAUAUCAGUCAUUUGAAAUCUUAUAUGAUGGGAAGCAUCUGGACAAGCUACUAGUAAGAACAAAUUAUACUUUGGUGCAUUCAAGUCAUUUACCUUAUUAAUGAAAGCAGACUAAGUUCCUUAAAUUUGGAUUUCCAUUAGAUAGUUGUGUAUUGGUUCCUUAUAAUUAAGUUGCAGGCAGAAGUAUUGCCUUUAUUUCUUACUAGUUGUAGUUUCUUUUAUGAUUUGUCUAGAUAAUAUCCGCUAUUCUAAAAAUGGAGAGGUUUAUUAUUCUUUUCCAGCUUUAUUGGUCCUGCAUGACUGAAUAGUCAAAUGCUCUUCCCUUUCCACUCUUCAAACAGUUGACACUUCACAGUAUUCCAAGAAUACAAAGUUGAGCCGCAGGCUCCGUGUUUGAUGUCCUUUCCAGCCAAUAUGAAUUAGUACACGUUAUUUGUGUCACAGUUAUCCUAUCAAGUCAAGUCACAACAUUUAAUUUGAAAGGUUGGCAUUAAUUUAGUUGUACUGUAUGACUGAUAAAUAAUAAAAUGUCACUAAGAAUUUUAAGCUCUCUUGUAAAGGAAUAUGUCACUCAUAGUAUCAUUGAUAUCCAAGUAUAAUCACAUAACCAGUGUGCUUCAGUGAUUAGCAAAGAUAAAUGUACUCAAUGGAUUCUAUGAUAGUCCUUGAAGACAAGGGGCAAGGAUAGAGAAUGAAAGUAAGUGUCUGCUUUCAUGCGAUAGAUGCGAAAAUCAUAUGUACCUCUAAGAAUUUCUUCUCCCGUGGUUCAAUCUUUAUACUUUUUACCCUCAUCAUGAUACUGACAGAUGGUAUGGAUCCUAGUGUCAGGCAAAGUCUCUCACCAAAAAGAUUGAGGACCUGAGGCAUCUUUCUGCUCUUAAGAAACAUAGUAGAUACGAUGCUAAAAUAGAGCAGCUGGAGGACAUGCUUCAAACCCUUGGUCGUGAAAUAAGACGUGUACAAUGCAGAAUGACGAUUGAGCAGAAGGUUAGUAUUCACUGCAAAAGUCUGAUGGUAAUGACAGUACUGGAGUUUAGAAUGUUUUGCUAGCUUAUUUUAUUUUUCGCCUUUCAAAUAUACUUUCUGUGGUUCCCAGAAGCUCUUUUCUUCAGUCUGGUGGUUCCUACCCUCAUAAUAUGCUGUCAAAGAAGUCCAGCCUAGCAUAGUGAUCUCUUUGCCCUUGUCGUUAGUUUAUUAACUGGGGUAAUAUGUCAAGUCUGUGAGAUAUAUCUAAAAGAAAACUGUGUUAAAUUAUGUCAUCCGUAGAAGAUAAGGAAAAUUCUAGGGUGAACUUUGCAUGCCUUAUUGAGCAGAAAAAUGACAACAGAGAGGGGGAGAAGGGAAUGGGCCCCUGAUAGAUAAAGUAUGGUCUCUUUCCUGAGCUUGUGCUUCCAGGUUACAGCUAAGAGUAUCAUAAUUGCUGGUAAUUCUUGCUAUUUGCUUUCAUCAGAAAUUGAUGUCAAUGAUUGGAUCACAGUUUAAAAACAUUAUCUCGAUUUCACUCAAAACCAGCUGAACUGUGUAAUUUUCCAUAACGGACUUAGCUAAUAUAAAACACAAUAUAUGAUCUAAAUAGUGAUACUAACUUUUUGGUUAAGGAUUAGUUGUUAUUUGUUUACAUUUAGUCUGAUGUACGCCGAGGCAUGGCGGAGCCACAUGUAUUCAAGGGGCAUCAAUUGACACUCCUUCAUCAGAAAAUUACAUUGUAUAACUCGGUAAAAAAAAUCUUAUGUAUAUAUUAUAUAUUGACUCUGCUUGGCUUCUUUGUUGAUUUACUACUUUACAUUUUGAUACCUCUUAAUAAGAGUCUUGGCUCCACCACUGCCCCGAGGAGUCUUUUGAUAUUAUGAUUGAAAGCAUAAGUGUGAGAGUUGGAGAACUUCUGGUUUUAGAGAACUCUUAUAUUGCCGUACAGGAAAAAUUACUCAAUGAAAUGGUUUUGAAUAGAACGGAAUGGAUAAAGAUGGUUCAUGUCCCAUCUAACUAGUUUGAGGUUGAGGCAUAGUUAGAUUGAUUAGUUGAUAUAAAAAAGGAUUUGCUUGUUCAGGAAAUUAUCUCUUACCGCUUGCCACUUGUGAAGACGGGCCUGGAAACAUUAGGAAUGUGUCAGUUUUUCUGUUGCAAUUUUGAUCUCAUAUGAAUUAGCCACCAUGAUUUGCCAACAUUUUGAGGUAUAUGUCCAUGUCAUUUGGUGUAUUUGCCAUCUUAGUAGGAAUGAAGAAAAUAUUAUCUAUUGACAGCCAUUAUUGAGAUCAUGUAAGGAGGUUUAAAGAAGUGCAUGAGGAUUUGCUUGUGAUCUUAUAACCGGUCAUGGAAUGAUUCCCUAAUGUUAUUUUGACAGUUGAACAGUUGGUUUAAUUUGACCAUAUUUUUAUUGCUUAGGAACUGCCUGUGGCUUUUGUUACAUUUAGUUCACGAUGGGGCACAGUUCUAGCUGCGCAAUCUCAACAGCACACAAAUCCACUCCUCUGGAUCACUGAAAUGGCUCCAGAACCGAGAGAUGUGAUCUGGCAAAAUUUGGCAAUUCAAUAUCGUCAUUUGCCACUGUACAGGAUAGUGAUACUUGUUGCAGCAUCACUACUUACCAUCUUCUUCGUGUUACCAGUCACAGCUGUUCAGGGAAUUGCCAAAUAUGAACGCCUGAAGAAAUGGUUUCCUCCUGCGAUGGCCGUGGACUUGAUGUACAGACUUCUUCUCUUCAUUAUUUCAGCCUUCUGAUUUCUCGAGCAUAAAAUGUUUCAUGCUGUAAUACUUCAUACUCUCCAAGCACAGUUAGUAUUUUGAAGUCUUCCCUUGCCCCGAAAAGAAUGGUGGGGAAGAGAAUAUGAGGGUCAGCGCUGUUAAUUUUCUGUGUAAAAUUGGCAUCAGUUCCCAAAAUUGCUUAUUUGAGAACUACAUAAAAAGUACUAUAAAUCAUAACUUUUGUUAUCAAGAAUAUGUCAAAUGUUGUUGUUUGAUUCCCUGAACAGUAAUAGAACACCAUUUUUAAAAAAUAGAUGAUAAAACACUAUACAUUUGGGAUGGAGGGAGUAGCUUGUUUCACAUCAAAGUUCUUCCUUGCAUUGACAGAAGAUGCAAUGGAGUUCUGGACAAAAUUGUCUUUGUUCUUUGGUGGCUCAUUCGUUGUUGUUUAUCUUCUCCUCUUUCUUUCCAAAUUAGAUAGAUCGUUUUUUCUUUCCGCCUUUUGGUUUUUAUUUUCUCUCUUUGUAGGGAGGGAGAGUUGAGGUGGAGUAGGGUAGUUACUGAAUCCUCCUAGGUACAGUUGUUUUUUAGUUGAAAACUUGUGUAGCAGGUUGCUGAUCUUCAAUCCUUUUUAAAUAUUGUGGCAGACCGGGGUUAAGGUCCAUCGUCACAGGAUAUCUUCCUAGUGCCAUUCUUAAUGGUUUCAUAUACAUUGUUCCAUUUGCCAUGAUUGGGCUGGCAAGAUUAGCUGGUUAUAUCUCACGGAGUAAGAAGGAUUUAAAUGCAUGCAACAUGGUGUUCUACUUCCUGGUAGGGAAUGUAUUUUUCUUAAGCUUGUUGUCAGGAUCUUUACUAGAUCAACUCGGUGAAUCUUUCUCUCAUCCCAAGGAUAUUCCCAACCGUCUUGCUAGUGCCGUCUCUUCUCAGGUGCAAAACAUGUUGUCUCUUCUCUUUUCAUUUAAUAUCUUUUUUUAUCAUGUGUCAGAAUAUUGAAUAUCUGAUCGGAAAAGAGGGAUGGGAACACGUUUUCAGUUGAUGCUUUGAUUUUUACCUGCCUGUAGCCUAAUAAAGAACCUAUAGGGCCUAUCAUAGUCUAUAUAUUUUACUUUACAUGCAGAUGAUUAAUCUUUGCAUUUACAUUUUUCUUUCUGUCCUUACAGGCAGAUUUCUUCGUGACGUACAUCCUGACAAAUGGGCUGGCAGGAUUCUCUUUGGAGAUACUUCAGCCAGGAUUACUCCUAUGGGAUACUCUAAAAUCUUACACAUGGGACCGUGGAAAGAAGAAACAUCCUUAUGUUUAUUCACUACCUUAUUAUAGAAUUGUCCCUUUUGUUGCUCUCUGCAUGCUGAUUGGGAUUGUCUACGCAGUGGUCUCACCUUUGCUUCUUCCAUUUCUAGUAGGCUACUUCCUGCUUGGAUAUGCGGUGUUCAUCAACCAGGUGAAGUUUCUCUACAUGCAAUAUUUGUGCGUUAAGAACAAUCUGUUUAUAAGCCUGACCCACUGUAGUUUGUACUUUCGUUGCUUUGAGGUAGAUCUCCUAUACUGGUCAAAAACUUGAGUUAAAACUGUGAACAACUUAUGUAACAUUUUCCUGUGUACAACGUUGUCUUUGAUAAUAUAUCGUGUUACACCUGUUGUCAUUGGUGAAUUUACGGAUGAUGCAAACCUACAAUGAUAUGUAAAUAACGUUUUAGAUUUAUGAAGUUUUAAGUGCUAUGUGUAUUUUUUUCUUCAGAUUUGUAGCAGAUUUCUUUGCUUUACCUGCUAAAGUACACCUGCACCACUGAUACAUACUUACAUGAAGCAGAUCAACUUUUUUGUGUUUUAUUGGACUUCCUUUUCAAGACUGUUACAAGCCCUUGAUAUUCACUGUCUGGGUUUUUCAUGCUUUUUAAUUUCGCUAAAUGGUGGUAGUUCUUAUCGUCAGUAACUAGUUUGCUUCUGUUAAGGGGAUUGCUACAAGUUAAGUUUUCUUAUUAGCUGUUAUUACAUUGGUUUUUUUACACCUUAAACUACAUUGUUAUCACCAGGGUUUAAGUAUCCUGUUGAUAUGAAGUAUAUAUUUUAUGGACUUUAUCUGGUGCUUCUGUAUUGCAGGUUAGCUCAAAUAUUUUAGAAUAAAUAUGGAGGAUAAAGUAUAAUGAAAUGUUAUUUGUGAUGCAGAUUGAAGAUGUGUAUAUAACUACAUACGAGACAUGUGGUCUGUAUUGGCCAUACAUUCAUCACUACAUUAUAGUUGCGAUCAUACUUAUGCAAGUCACAAUGAUCGGUCUUUUUGGAUUGAAAGCCAAGCCUUCAGCUUCGUUCUCCGUUAUCCCUCUCAUGGUCAUCACUAUUCUCUUUAACGAAUAUUGCAAGAUUCGAUUUCUUCCUACUUUCAACCAAGUUUCAGUUCAGGUAAUUACUAUUUUCAUUGAUACCUUCCAGAAAUUCCUUUCCCCUCCCCUUCUCAAAGGAGAACUCCAGGGAAGCCGAUGAAAGUCGCAUAAAGAACUCCACUGCAAUGUAAAUUUGGUUGUAUUUGUGGGUCAGCAUUGAGCUAUACGUUCUAUCAUCCUAUUCCAUCUAUUUCUAGCUGGAGCUUGUGGGGAAGUUAUGUUCAUUAAAAAUGUGAAUCAUGACCGGAAAAAUGAUUUAGACCUUGUAGAGAAUUCUGUUCAUCAAGGAUGCAGAUCACAUUUGGAAAAAUGAUUUUUCUAACUGAUCACAAACCGCUUCUUCUUUGACUAGAAAAAAAUUACCAAACGAUGUAUUUGUGUGUUGCCCCUCAAAAAUGAGCAAAGUAUGUUGGGCUGCUUUGGGAGGACUGCAUGUUCCCCUAAGUGAAGCGAAAAUUUGCAUAACAAGGAAAAAUCAUUUGUGACGUCUACACUAGUUGUCUCUAUUUAUGUUUUAUCUUAUUAUUUUUUAAAAAAAUGCACAAAUGUUCAAUUAAGGCUAAGUUGUAUCAGUUAUCAUAAAGUUUUGAUGUUGGAUGUCAUUUUGGCGAAUGUUGACCAAGAGUCGCUAGGAUUGUGAUCAGCUCGAUGUUGUUGGUCCUCACGACAACUCUUGCUUUGUUUCAUGGAAAAAUCCUCUUGUGAGUUUAUUUGGUUUUUCAGCUGAUGUUAUGGUAUUUUUCAUCAGGAUGCCAAAAAUAAUGAUGAUCUUGACAAGAAGGAUAGAUUGGAGGAGGAGAAUGUCCAGAAGGCUCUUGAUGCUUAUUCUCCUCCAUGUUUGCGGCCCUUGGACCUCGGGUUGGAAGGAACGAGCUCUACGAAGCCAUUUCUAUCUCCAACGUAGAACAUGUUGUUUUUUAUCUUUUCCUCCCAGGUUUGCUUGUACUCUGAUGUCUUGACAAUUUUGUUAGGAGUGUUUGUGUCAACAUCUACAUUGUCAAAUUACACGACGAGAAAGUAGACAUAAAUUACACUACAAGGCUCAUCCUUGUUAAAGCGGCCAUUUUAGAAUUUUCUGUUUGAUAUUUUUAAUCAGAUGGACAAAGUGGCUAUUAGAAUUCGUUUUUCUUUCUUUUAUCGUCUUACCAGUACGUAUCAUAGUAGGUGUUCCUUCACCCAUUUUUUAGUUCAAUUGAACGAAAAAUUUUACAAUGGUAGAGGCUCAACCAACAAUAGUUGUGUGAGGCCCCAUUCUUCAACACUUGGAUAGUGGGAUCAUAGCUUUACUUCAAUCCAAGUUUAUAUGACAGCUUUUUAAAUUUGUCUGGAUAUCAUAUAGGGAAAAUUGUAUAUAAUAGCAAAUAUUUAAAUCAAAAUAAAUCCUAUAGCUACUAUUUCAUAUAUUUGUAUUUCGCAGUAAAUGUGCAGCUAAUGUUACACCAUUUUUGCCAUUCAGUUGGGACCCACGAUUUUUUUUAAAAAAACGGAAGAUCUAUUUUAUACAAAUUUCUUCACUAUUUUUUGUCUCCCAUUUUCUUUCAAUUUCUCCUAAAAUCUCUCUCCAUAUUAGUUUUAUUUUAAUCAGUUGGGGCCCACACAUUUUAUAAAAUGGAAGAUUUAUUUUUAUACAAAUCCCUUCGCUAUCUUUUCUCUCCCAGUUUCUUUCAAUUUCUCCUAAAAUCUCUCUCUAAGUCUUUUUUUUUAUUUUAUAAAAUACAUAUAUUUUCGUCCUAUACACUUAUAAUUAUACAAAUACAGAUCUUUCCCUACCAGUUCUCUUUUUCUCUUUUUCUCUUUUUCUCUUUCUCGCUUUAUACAAACAAACACUUAUAAUAAAAUGCAUUUUCUCUCUUUCUCACUUUAUACAAACACAAAUUAUACAAAUUACAAUGUAUAAUUUGUGUUGUAUAAAAGAGAGAUUUGAUAUACAAAUGUUUUAUUUUGAUUCAAUUGUAUACAAAUUCAAAUUUUAUGCAGAUAUACAAACACAAUCAUUGGUACAUAUACAUAGUAGUUACGUAUAUACAAUUGAAUUGAGAAACUGCCAACGAUUUAUACAAACGAGAGGUUGCCAGCGAUUUAUACAAAUGAGAGGUUGCCAACAAUUUAUACAAAUGAGAGGCUGUCGGCAAUUUAUACAAAUCUGAUGCUCCAUAGCAAACAUAAAGUUUGCUAUUGAGCGCAAUUAUACAAACUAUAGUAUACAAAUAUGAUUUUUAUGUUUGCUAAACCUAAAAUUUACACCAUAUAUCAUCAUAUAUAUAUAUAUAUAAGAGAAUCUUAGGCCCGCCUACGUGGCGCCACCACAAAUCAGAAUUCUCUUUUAAUUUAUUUAUUUACAAAACUAUCAUUCCCCUUUCAUGAAAAGUUGCAACUUUAAUUAAGAGUUGUAUCUUUUAUGAAAAGUUAUGACUUUUAUGAAAAGCUACAACUUUUAUGAAAAGUUAUAACUUUUAUGAAAAGCUACAACUUUUAUGAAAAGUUUUGACUUUUAUGAAAGGUUGUGAUCUUUUCGAAGGGUUGCAACUUUUCCAAAUAGUUAUAUCCUUUUACAUUUGUUCACACUACCCUUUAUUGUCUAUAAAUAGAGGGAUUUCCUCUCAUUUUAAAAUAACGAAAAUUCUGAACCUCCUCCUCUUCUUCUUCUUCUUCACAAUUAAAUAUUUGUGUACUUUGCUCCUGUUGAGUGGCUCACUGACAUCAUUACAUAUGUUAUAGAUCCUGGUAUGUAUUCUUACCGUCAUUAAGUUAUGCUUAUGUUAUUAAGAAUAAAUGAUAAGAUAUAAUAAUUUUUAUUUUCCUUUACAUUAUUAAUGACUGAUAGGUUUAACUAUUAUUAUAUAAAUUCCAUGAUAUUAAAUUUCUGCGCAAAACGCGGGUAAUUUUACUAAUUUUAUUUAGACACUCGAACUAAGUUAUGUUUCAAUUUGACACUCAACAACUAAUAAAGUGUUCUAGUUUCGGUUCAAAUUUUGUAAAAAAAUUAUGUGCAUUCUCAAGAGUUACACAGGUAAUAAGUUAAUUAUAUAAAAUAUGUCAUCUCUUUUAAUUAUGUGUUGAACUCAAAUAGAAAACGUUUGAGAUUUUAUGGUUUAUAUGUGUAUAAUUAAAAGAGAUGACAUAUUUUAUGUGGUCAGCUUGAGCCCAUUUGGAUUGGCUUAAAAGUUGGUCAAACCUACUUUUAAGUCAAAUUUUGACUUUUGGAAGUGUUUGACAAAUGUAAAAAAUAACUUAAAAUAAGUUAAGAAACCAAAAGUAAGUCUCCCCCUACUUUUUAUUUUUUAAUUUAAAAGUCAUUUCAGUUUGACUUUUUAUUUUUGACUUAAAAGCUACUUUUUUAAGUCAAUCCAAACGGGCUAGUUACCUAACAGUUGAACUCAAAUAGAAAACGUUUGAGAUAUUUUGAUUUAUAUGUGUAUAAUUAAAAGAAAUGACAUUUUAUGUGGUCAGCCUAGUUACCUAACAGAUUCUUGAUUGGAACAUUUAGUUAUGGUUUAAGGUGUUCAAUUGAAGAAAAACUUAAUUCUGAGUGUCUAAAUAGAAUAUUCUUACAAGUUUGAAGAUUGAUUAUGUAUUAAGCCAUUUUAAACAGCUUCAUGAUAUACCAGUGAACAAAUCCAUCAUAACGCCAAUAUUCUUCAGCUUGCAUUCUUUAACAAAUCUCGUAUGCCAUAAUUUUGAAUUUUAAAAAAGAGAAUUAAAAUGGAAGCUUAACUGGAAUAUUAGAACGACAAAGAUUUUAACAACUUAUUCAAAUAUAAUCAUACGUUUCAUUAGGUGAAGUGAUGCAAUGAAAAGAAAAAGAAAAAAAAUAUUAAAUCGAAAAAUUGAAAGAGCACAAAAAGAUGCAAGGGUCAUGUCUUUUUGAAUAUAUUUCUACUUAAUUCAGUAUCGUAUAUAUGUAUUUACAUUUGAGUUUUUACAUCGAACCAACUUAAUUUACUAUGGUUGAACUAUUUAAUACCAGUAACUAAUCAAUGAUUAAUUGGUGUAAAUGUCUAACAAACACAUGUUACACAUUUAAUUUAUUUUUGUGUGAACAUUCUGAUCGUAACAACUUAUCUACAUCAAGUGUUUAUACUAAAUUAAUACAAUUAACAAUCGUCAAGUGAUUUAAUGAAGUAAAAUAUAUGUUAAUUAAUGAUGGUUAGGUUUUAAAGAGUCUAUCCAAACACAUGACAUUAUAACAUUAUUAUUAAUCUCAUAAUCAUUUUAUGCGACUUGCUCUUUUUACCUAGUUAGGUUUCUCUACACACAUUUGAACCAUUCUUCAUCUAUCACAUCACUUUCUUUGAGGACCAAGGCAACGAUAUCUGAAUUAUACGCAACUUGCAGUCAAAAUUUUGCAAACAAUAUUAGUUUUUUUUUUUACUUAUCUGGAAAUUAAAUUGGACGAAUGAACAUGGAUAAAUCAAAAAUAGUAUAUUGCAUCACCCUAAUUAAUACAAAGUUUAUCUGGACAAUCAAUACAGAACACUCAAAGAGGGUACAAACAAUAGGAUACAACGAUACGAAUCAAAAAGAUUGAGACAACGAAAGAGCAAAACAUCAAAUGGUAACGACCAUAUGGGCAAGGCAGGUAAAAUGUUGGAAGCUGCAAGAUCAGUUGGAUGGAGGAGGUGAAAGUGUAGGAAUGUUUGGAAAUGAAGGCAUGCUGGGCAGAGGAAUAUUAGCGGGCAAUGGAGGCAGAGUCAUCUUCGGAACAGAGGGCAAUGUAGGCAGAGUCAUCUUCGGAACAGAGGGCAAUGUAGGCAGAGUCAUCUUCGGAACAGAGGGCAAUGUAGGCAGAGUCAUCUUCGGAACAGAGGGCAAUGUAGGCAGAGUCAUCUUCGGAACAGAGGGCAAUGUAGGCAGAGUCAUCUUCGGAACAGAGGGCAAUGUAGGCAGAGUCAUCUUCGGAACAGAGGGCAAUGUAGGCAGAGUCAUCUUCGGAACAGAGGGCAAUGUAGGCAGAGUCAUCUUCGGAACAGAGGGCAAUGUAGGCAGAGUCAUCUUCGGAACAGAGGGCAAUGUAGGCAGAGUCAUCUUCGGAACAGAGGGCAAUGUAGGCAGAGUCAUCUUCGGAACAGAGGGCAAUGUAGGCAGAGUCAUCUUCGGAACAGAGGGCAAUGUAGGCAGAGUCAUCUUCGGAACAGAGGGCAAUGUAGGCAGAGUCAUCUUCGGAACAGAGGGCAAUGUAGGCAGAGUCAUCUUCGGAACAGAGGGCAAUGUAGGCAGAGUCAUCUUCGGAACAGAGGGCAAUGUAGGCAGAGUCAUCUUCGGAACAGAGGGCAAUGUAGGCAAUGGAGAAGCUGUUGGAAGCGUUGGCAACGAUACAACACUUGGCAAUGGUGGCAAUGUGACUGAUGUUGGCAUGUUUGGAAUAGCAGGGAGUUGUGGCACUGUUGGCUGAGGCAAUGAGGGGACUGUAGGCAAGUUGGGAAGUUGAAGUAGGCUACGAGCAGCAUGACUUGUGGUGAUGCUUGAUAUGGACAACAAUGCUAUCAUCAAUAAGAGGAUUGAGCCAUUGUUCAAAGUAGCCAUUGUGUCAAUUUGACAAAUAUUACUUUGCUUCAAGGUAAUGAAGAAAUGGAAUUUGUGUUUUAAUUUGAGUGGAGAUUGUUCAUUUAGUAAAAGGGUUAUAUAUAGAGAAAGUGGUUGAAAUAUAUUAGAUGUUUAAUUGUUGGUUCAACUUCCUAGAUGUAAUUAUCUUUUUCUUUUUUAAUGUGUCCAAACCAACUUUCAUGCAUCUCAACUAAUUUCACGAGAUUCAUAUCACCCCACCAGCAAAUACCAAGUAACUCAAUCCAUCAAUGCUAGAACAAAUGGAAAGAAUCUCCUAAUAUUUGUCUCCACUGGAAUUGAUGUAAUUAUCUUUAGACAAUUGAUGUCACCAAUGGAGAAUGGUAUUAGUUUUUUGAAAAAAAAUUAAAUAAAUGAUUUAAUCAAUUUGAAUGAAUUGUCCACCACAUAUGGUUGAUCCAAACUCCAUCUGUGCAUAACUACUUUCAGAAAACAUCUCUAUUAAUAAGAUCAAAUGAAUGUUCCUAAAAACAACAUUUGGGAAGGUUAACUAACAACACAGUAUUCAUAAUUAAAAGUCCAAGCUUCCUCACCCAACAUCUCACCAAUUCCGAGUACCCCUCAAGAAGUUUCCCUGUAUAUAUAUCCUUUAUUGAUGACAAUCUCAUCAAGUCAAAUCAAAACACUUAAAACUUCCUUUUAAUCAAAACAAUCUAGCAAAUUUAUUACAUAACAAUGGCCGCUUCCAACAACUGCUCAAUCCUCUUGUUGAUGAUAGCAUUAUUGGCCAUAUCAAGCAUCACUACAAGUCAUGCUGCUCGUAGCCUACUGCAAUUUCCUAACUUGCCUACAAUCCCUUCACUGCCUCAACCGACAAUGCCAAAAUUGCCCACUAUUCCAAACUUGCCAACAACAGUCACAUUGCCACCAUUGCCAACACUUCCAACAGCUAAUACACCUUUACCUUCUUUCCCUACAUUGCCCUCUGUGCCUAAGAUGACUCUACCACCAAUGCCUGCCAGCAUUCCUCUGCCCAACAUGCCAUCCCUUCCAAAUAUUCCAACAAUUCCAAAUAUUAUUCCUACAAAUUCACCUCCUCCAUCCAACUAAAUACUAAUCUCGCAGCUUCCAACCGCAUGAUAUUUACCUAUAGGUCACUACCACAUUUUAUUUUAUUUUCGCUUUUCCUUGGCAUCUUAAUCGUUACGUUAUUCUUGACAAUGUAUUGUAUCAUGUUAUAUUCUCCGAAUUCCAUACACUGAUUGUCAUUUGUGUUGAUACAAUGCAAUGCCUAUUACUGAUUCAUGUGUAUUUGUCCAAUAUAGUUUACACAUGAGAUAUGAUCAAUCGUGUAUUCAUGCAUAUUUUGAACAAACUGAACCAUAAAUAUACACAUGGGAAAGCUAAUUUAUUUGAAAGCCCUAAUUAGAAAAUAAACAUAUUUAGGACGCUUAUUCAAGAACUAGCGGAAACACAACAUUCUUACAAGGUUUAAUUGCCUAAAAGUCAACUUAGAUUUACAAAACUUAAGUGAAAUAAUGAGUUCAUAGUUCCAAAUAUCAAAUAUACAUACCUAAAGUUCUAAAGUUCAAACAGACAUGCUUGAAGUUGAGGAAUUUAACACACCGAUAAUCUUAAGUUGGCAAAUGUGUGUGCCGAUCAAACAAUUGAGUCUAAUUUUUAGGCAUGGCAAUCUUCCACCCCAAACGUAUGAAGUUGGUGACAAGCCAAGCCUAACAAUGAACCCAAAUGUCUGAAGUAGGCAUAUUGUUUGUGCAGUUCAAACUUCAGACAUUCAACAAAGUUAACCUUCCAAGACCAAAGGUCUGACAUUGGACAAGCCAAACUUAACUUCAAACUCAAUGUCUGAAAGUUAGGAUACUCUGAUUGCAAUUGGAACUCAACUUAAUUGACAAUCUUCUAGCCAAAGGCCAGGACUCAGGAGGUUGGAAACUAGAAAACCCGAACUUCGGAACUGAAAUUGGCUGAUUUCUAGUUUAAGCCACAUAAAAUUAGGGUUGGUCUCCUACAUUUUCAGUGGUCAACCACCAACCAUCACAUGAACAAUGAUAAUAAUGAAGCAAUUGUAAAUUGAGUACAACAUCAGCAGCAAGUAAGUAAAUCUUGCAAACAAGAAAGCAAAUUGGGAAUUUGAAACUAACAAUAUCAUAGCACUGUAAAAGUUUCAGCAAGAAAAAACAGACAUGGCAAAAAUUAACUAGAAGCCUCCCAAAACCAAAUAUGGUCUUUAAGCAAAACACCGAAAGGACACUAACAAAAACAUUAAUUCAAUUACCGUAAAUGGUAAUCCAGAGUAUUGAAGAUUGAAAUCAACGGUAAGAUUUCUGGAACCUAGAACGAGCACCACGACCACCAAACUUCUUAGGCUCACAACGCCUAGGAUCAGCAACAAGAAGAGUCCUAUCAUAGCGAAUGAGAAUAUCCUUAAUCUCCUUCUUCUGCUGCUCAUCCACAAACUUCUGGUAAAACGCAACAAGUGCCUUUGCAAUAGACUGACGGAUAGCGUAGAUCUGAGAAGUGUGACCACCUCCCUUCACACGGAUACGCAUAUCGACUCCAGCGAAACGGUGACGGCCUAAGAGAAGGAUUGGUUCAAAGGCCUUGUACCGGAGGAUCUCCGGCUGGACAAGCUCGAUUGGGACACCGUUAAUCUUGAUCAAACCACGUCCACGCUUGCAGUGAGUCACCGCCACUGCCGUCUUCUUCCUCCCGAAGCAUUGGACGGAUUCCACCGUAGCUGCGGCUGCUUCUUGCUUCUGCAUUUUUGCUGAUUCUCAGAGCGAAAAUGGGAGAGUGAGAGGCGGAAGAGUGCGAUUAGGGUUUAUGAAGUAAAAUAAAUCUGGGCUUGUGAAAACCCUUUUAAUUUGGGCUUCCACGAAAUACUUCAUUGGCCCAACUCCAAAGGGACAACAUGAAAUCAAGUUUUUGCACGG
rnacentral:lncRNA from 1 species